CAGAGUACUGGUAUAACACAAAUUUCCAUUCUUCUGCUAAGUUCACUCCAUAUGAAAUUGUCUAUGGGCAGCCGGCCCCUCUUCACAUUCCAUACCUACCUGAGGCCACAGCAUGUGCUUCCGUGGAUAGGAGCUUACAAGCUAGGGAGAAGGUCAUUCACUCCUUGAGACAUAAUCUGUCCAAGGCUCAACAUCGAAUGAAGCAGUUAGCUGAUAAGCAUAGGUCGGAGAGGGAACUUGCGGUUGGUGACUGGGUUUAUGUGAAACUUCAGCCUUACAGACAGCAUUCCCUACGUUCUCACCACUGUCAGAAGCUGUCACCUCGCUACUUUGGUCCAUUUCAGGUGUUGGCAAGGAUAGGAGCAGUGGCCUACAAGUUAGCUUUACCUUCGCAUGCCCGUAUCCAUGACACAUUCCAUAUCUCCUUGCUCAAAAAGAAGGUUGGCACAGGGGGCACUCAAGCUCAGAUUCCCGCAGGAAUUACACACCAAGGACAGAUGUUGGCAGAGCCCAUAGCUGUUCUUGACAGACGUCUGGUCAAGCGUGGGCGAGUUGCGGCUACACAGGUGCUGGUUCAAUGGAGUAACAGCUUUCCCGAAGAUGCAACUUGGGAGUACUUGCAGGACUUGCGGCUACAGUUCCCUCAUUUCAAUCCUUGAGGACAAGGAUUGUUUUGAGAGGCGGGUAUUGAUACACGUGAACGGGGUUACGUAAGUUUAGGGGCUGCAUGUGCGUGCAUGGGGUUUGCAUGGAGGGCCACAGCUGGGUUUUGUUGCAGUUAGUUACUGAAAGUUGUUACAGUUAGUUAGUACUGAUUUGUAAGAUUCUUAUGACAUCAGCAGAUGUCAUAAGUUUGUUAGCCGGUUAUAAGCUCACCGUCUUAGCACUUAUAAAAGGCGAAGAUGGGCACCAGUAGAAGACAGACAAAAUCUGGGAAAUUUGUUAUAUCGGCACUUUCCAUUUCUUCUGUAAUCUUUCCUUCUUUAUUCAAGUCAAUAAAGUUCUCUUGGCUUUCGGAUUACUUCUCCGCCAGUUUUUGUAAUUCCUAAGUCAGAGAUUGAGGACCUCUACUGUCCUUUGCAUCAUGCACGCUCACACACACACAUAUAUUAGAACUUUUUGAGAAUGGGAUAAUCCUGGCUUAACUAAACACACGAAACAGAGACCUUUAAUCGCUAAUAUAUCUGUAUUGGAUUCUGAAUGGCUAGCGUUCUUGUGAUCGACCAAGAGGAGCCAAAAUAUCUCAAUCAGUCUAAUAAUGUAUGAUUUGUGAAACCCUGUAACUUGAAGUACGACGGAAGGAGCAAGGGGGCCGGGGGAGGUGGUCCUCCUCUUAUGUUCUUAUCAGCCGCGGGAACCUGAUGCCUCUAUGUAUACAGCGCUUCUGAUGAAAUGUACUACUUUUUGCUUUCUGUUGUACGAGCAUUGGGGAAUUGAAGAUGACAUGAAUAUAUGGAUUGAAUUGAAUAUGUUUGGUACAGAGAGAACUUGAUGUACGGAGUCCGCCGGGGAAAAAAACCUAAAAAAAUCAUUGCCGACAAGAACAACUGAUCAUGCACAUCAAUACUAGUACAUAUAAGAACAACGUGAAAUUCAUUCUCAGUUUUGCUCGAGAUACUGGAGCUGGUGAUCUUGAGACCUGAACAGUAAUUCUAGAGAGCAUGGAGUCAAUACUGUACGUGUCUGCGCUCUUUUUCUUUUGGUUGAUGAAAAAAUUGACUCGUGAAUUCAUUGCAGGUAGUUAGGUGCCUGAGUCAUCCUAAUUUAUCUUCAAAUAAAAUGUAUAAACAUUUAGCAAAUUCUUCCAAGGAAUUCGCAUGCGCGCAACCAUUUUUUUUUAUAUAAAAAAGAGAAAAAAAGUUUAGCGAAUUCUUCCGAUAAGUUGUACUGUUUUGGAUCGCUGUAAGUUGUAGGUAUCAUUUUUCUCUCCCAUUUUGCUCUUUCACUACGAGCAAUGAAAGUUGGUUUGAUAUUCAUCAUUCAGGACGGAAACUUUUGUUGUGGUCGAAGCCUGAAGGGAAAUUACUAAUCAGGCCUGGCAAAAAUCAGGUAACUAUAUAUAGUGUUGCUUGCAAGAAAAUUGAAAAUUAAGAAUUAAAAACAAAAACAAAGAAAAAAAUCAUUCAGCAGUAGUACUAAAGAUUUGGGACUUUGAUGGGCUAAAGUGAAAGGGUACAAGGAAGGCCCGCUCUUGAAUGUUGUAGAUGAACAAGGCUUGCAUUAAAUUAGUGAGUGGGCCAAAACUUGCUCAGCAACUCUUUAGGAAAUGUGCGGAAAACAAUUUUGUCAUUUUCUAGCCCGACAGCUUGGCUUAUGUUAUGAAACGAAACCAGUGGGCCCUCCCUCCCUCUGGAACCCCGCGGUUGUUAACAAAAGAUCGAUCGCAUCUGGCUGUGGCUCAAAAUUCUUCUUCCGCCACCAGAUUCUCUACUAGCUGCACUGUAUGAAUCAGGUUUGAAACUUACAAAGAUGGUACUGUAUGAAUUAAAGUUCCAGUCCCAACAGCCUGCCGGCCGAUUUGGUAACAGUAUGGCUCCCAUUAUAUACGCUAAGCAUUAAGCACUGCAUGAUCGAAACAAACAGAUAUUUUCAAAAUGUUCAAGGACCUUCAUCAUAAUUAACCCAAGAAUUGCUUCCUAACCCUUAACCUCCUAAUUUUGUCAUUUUAUUAGUAUUUUGUUUUCUGAAAGCAGGUCCCGUCCGAGUACAUGAUGUUAUGCCUACGCAGUUAUAAACUGCAGCAGCACAGCAAGUGCUUGAUAAAGAUAAUGCACAUGUGGUCUUAAAAGAAUUACUGUGCAGGAGAGAACGAUGGACGACGUGGUAGCUAGGCACGUAUUUGGGGUUGAGGACCGACUCUGAAUUGAAAGGGAUAGAUCGAGUGGAGUCAAUAAACUCAUGCCUUCCCUUCUGUCCUCUCCUUUCUCCUGCAAUUCUUGCCACCACCAAUACUUCCACGGCCUCCACAAGACAAGAGAAGAGGCCGCGGGGGGGUUGGGUUUCGGGCUUUGGGAUUGGGGAUGGCUAUGGUUGACAGUUUAUUAUUGUGUAUUUGUUUCGUAAUUUAUAUACACUCAUGAACACACAUUGAACUGAUAUAUACGAACAAAAUUUAUGCGUAUAAUAAACGUAUGUUGCAUCACGUCUCUGCAGUAUAAUCUCAACGUUAACUACUGCCCCAAACUCAUGAAUUGGAAGUACGUACCUGCUCGUUGUAUACAAUUUUCACAGAAGCUAGAGUAGUGAACAGCUAUGACAAACAGCGUUAAUGCAUUAGAAUCUUUUCGUACAAGGAAUAAAACAGAACUUAAUUGUCAAGAGCUGCCUCCUUCAAUUCUUCAAUCCAUCCAUGUUCUUUUUGCUAUUCUAGUCUCAGAAGAAUCCACCCAAAAAUAAUGCAGAGCAAAGUUGCAGAAGAAGACACGUUGGACCAUGCCAUGCAUACCACAGUUCCCAUAACGGGGCCUUUAUUUCCAUUCAGUCUUUUACCAUUGGAAUCAUUUUUUUUAUUCAAGAAACGACGCUAGCUAAAGUUGGUGAUGGACUUCUAGCUAGUUGUUCUAAAACUGACUUUAAGAAAGCUCUUUGAAAAAUUUUAGGAACAAAUCUAACUAAUUGAAGGUGCAAAUGAGAAUGCGCCAAAAAGGAGUAUAGUUGUGGAAAAGUUAGUUGAUUACUAUAUAUAUAUAUAUAAAAAGGUACGAGUUUCUCGAACAAAUUUGGUAACAAUAGAAUCGUUUUUUGCUUGUUCAGGAAAAGUUUUUGGAUUGAGGGUCUGUUUGGUUGGAAGUAAAAUGUUUUCCUUGGGAAAAUAUUUUCCGUUGAAGUAAUUUUCCAUGAAAAUCAUUUCCCUUUUAUCAUUUUUAGGUGUUUGGUUAGGUUAUUGAAAAUAUUUUCUUACUUCAUUUUUCUGAUGUUUGUUUAACUUUUGAAAUAUUUUCACUUUUAUCUCUAUCUUUACUUUCUACACAUUAUAACUACAUACUUCUUCCCAUGCAAAAUAAGAAAAUUUAUCUCAUUGUUUAACUUUAAAAAAUCUUGAAGAAAGGUAUAUAUGAAUAAAAAUAUUUCCUUAAGCAAAUAAAUAAAUUGCUGGCCAUUUAGUGUCAAAUAUCAAUCACAUGCAAUGCUUAUUGUGACAUAUAUCUUGCACUCUCACUACUGAAAGUUUCUCUAGAAAAGAAUGUCCCUAUUAUACAUAAUUAAUUACUAGCAUAGGAUGAGCAGGAUGAGGUUUUUUUUUUAUUUUGAAUAUACUAGGGGGAGGGUUGGGUGGUACGGGGGAGGGAGUGUAAGGAAGAGGUCUUGGGUUCGAGUCUUCCUGUUUACACUAAAAAAAAAAAAGAACAUACUGCAAGAUGAUUUCAGUAAGUUUGGAACAUACUACAGGCAAGAUGCAUGCAUUUCGGAAAACAACUUCAGGAAGUUGGGAAGGGAAGUUGUUUUCCAUAAGAUGAGUGAAAAUAUUUUACAUAGGAAAAUGUUUUCAGUAACUUUUGUGCAACCAAACACGGGAAAUUAGGAAAAUAUUUUCCUGGAAAAUAUUUUCACCCGAAACAAACGGACCCUGAGAGACAAAGUUUUUGCAGUCAAAACUUGGAUAAAUUCGAUUUUCAAAACUCAGUGCGAUUGCGGCGUUGAAGAAGAUCAGAUCUCUUCAAGUGAUUUUGCAUGCUCAAUCUAGAUAUAUAUAUAGCAGUAGUAGUACUUGCAAGCCAUGAAAACAUAGGACCACCUAACAGCUGCAAACGUUGGUGUGCGCAAUAUAAUCAAUCAUUCAAUCCCACCAAAAAACACAAAAACAAAAAGGAAAGAAGGAAAAAAAAAAAUGGAGCUGGUCAUUAAUAUCUCGUGUAAGGCCUACACAUGUGAAGCUUUACGGCCCAAGGGACCCCGAGAAGCUUUAAGCGUUGAGAGCCCUCAUGAUAAUGCACGAAGGCCGAUUUCCCAGAAAACAAAAAUUAAUAAUCAAUCGCUAUCCGAGCACGCGGGUACCUAUACAUACAAGAACUAAUUAUUAUGGUCACAAUUGGUGAGAAAUUUUUGGGUGACUUGUGACCUUCCAUCACAAAGGCCGUACAUUUUUUUUUUUUUUUUUUUUGCUUACGGAGUGGGUGUCCGGGUCAAUCCUUGCGGGGUCCGACUAAUCCCACUCCGACCUGGGAGGAGAGGCUCCAUCUCCCGAACACGAUAACUAUGGGACUCGAACCAUUGCGGGCACUGGGCCGUACAUGUACAUGACGAUAUUUAUUCUCUAUUUUUUUUUUAUCCUACUUCUUAUUUUGAUUUAAAAUUAAUGCGUGCUCUCUCAGUCUCUUUGUUCCAAAAAAGGGGACAAGCAAACAAAAAAAAAGAAAAAGAGAAAAGAAAUGGAAAUCCUCCUUCAUCACUCGUCUAAAUUUUGACGGCCGUCUACUACAUGGUAACCCAGUCAAUUUCUUGUAGGAUUUUUUUUUUUUGAUUUGGUUACAUGAUAAGUUGAGGAUUGGUACCUUGGAGUGUGUUGUAUUAUAUACACCUGUUAGUGUUGGAAAAUUGUACUUUCAUUAUCUAAACUUUAGGCUUGUUUUCAAUUAUUUAUUUUAGACUGAUUAUAUAUUCUAAUUUUGGAUAAUCAGUUUUUUUUUUAAUAUUCUCAAUCAGUUUUGUAUUCUAAUUAUAAAUUUUUAAAUGACCAUAAAAGUUAAAAUCUAUAAUCAGUCAAAGAGUAACUUUUUGCUGAUUCGGAUUAUUCUUCAUAAUCAGCUUCUAUAUUCAGAUUUUGUGAAAUCUAGAGCAAUAAAGAACGUGACAUAUGUCUAUGUGCCAAUGGUUACUCGCUUUUCACCCUAUUGUCAAUUCAUUGAUUAAUUCCACACUAGAUACUUUCAGGAUUUCACGACACUACUUAGAAUUAAAUGGAGACGUUGGAAAAUAUGCUUGAUGAAUUCAGAAAAAGGGUGAAGCACGUAGAUGGUUAAUUAUCGUUGUUUGGCAUAGGUAUGGCAACGGGUAGAGUAAAACUCUAUCCUUGUGGGUGUUUCAAUUAGACGAUAGAUGGGUAAUCCGUUAGACGUAUUAAUAAGGAGUUACUGAUGGAUAACCCGAUAGAAUUUGGUAAGAUAUUUUCUAAAAAUUGGAUACUCAAUACUCGAUAUUCCAUACACAUGUCCGCGCGAGCGCACACACACAAUUUGUUUCAUAUGUGCGUGUAUCAAAGAAUUAAUACCUCUAUAAUAGCUAUUUAUCCUCUUAGUUUGUAUUCAGUUGACACACAUAUUUAUCUUUAUACAAUGUACAUGCGAGUUAGGAUUUAAUAAGAGAGAUUUUUAAAGGUAUUCAACUCGCUGCCAUUCCUAUUUUGGAAUUAUAAAGAUAACUCAAUAUGGCAUUUUCAAACUUAAAAAUAGUUAAAUAGAACCAUGUAAAUUGUUCAAAACUUGGUACCAUGCCCAAGUGACUAAUUUUACAUUCUCACACUUACACGAUGUGAGUGAUAAUCCUAGUCUUACGCACGAGUGCCAGCUCAUGCAAAAUAAAUAAAUGAAUAAUUAAUGGAAAAGGGCGUUUUUGUCAGAUUUAAGAAAAAGGUGAAUGGUAAGACACACUGCAAGCAUAAAUACAGAGCCGCGAUAGAUUUUAUGUAUUGGUUGCAUGCCCAGCUAGCUAAGCUUUGGUUUAAUUGUUGGUUAAUAAUGGAGAUGCUCCUACAGCAACCACCGGCGCCGCCAUGCAUUAAUGAAGAUGACCUAGCCCCUUCUUCCUCCGGCUCAACCACCACCGCCACCACCCCCACAGCCGCCAUCAGCAGAAGAAGUGAUACCAGCAGUAGUAGUGCUGCCAGUGGGGGCACACGGCAUCCGGUCUUUCGAGGGGUCCGCAAACGGCGGUGGGGCAAAUGGGUGUCGGAAAUUCGAGAACCGCGAAAGAAAUCACGGAUAUGGCUGGGUUCUUUCCCAAGCCCAGAGAUGGCAGCAAGGGCAUACGACGUGGCCGCAUAUUGUCUGAAAGGACCCAAGGCCCAACUGAAUUUCCCCGACGACAUCCAGCUGCUGCCGCGGCCAUUAACCACCACGGCUCGAGAUAUUCAGGCAGCAGCCUCAUUGGCCGCAAGAGUGGCGAUGGCAGAAGGAAAAAAGACUACUACUAUGUGUGGUAGUAGUAGCACUACCGCUACUACUACUGCAGCUCAUAUCGGCGACGAUGGGAGUGGGAGUGAUGAUUUUUGGCGGGACAUAGAGCUGCCGGAGCUCAUUGAAGCUUGGCCGGGGGAGAAUGAUAACAGUACCAGCGUAACUGUGAGGAGGGAUUAUGUGUGGGAGUUACGCUACUGGAGUGCUUCAUCAUCGUUAUCAUCAUGUUCAGGGAUGUUUUCCGGCGAUAUUGCCACGUCGCCGAUGGAAUGAUUCCAGUUGGAUGAAGAUGACCGAGCCCCCGACGGACUGUGUAAUUGCAUGUACUAGUUGUACGUCCGCGGCCGUAUGACCGUACAUAAUAGUUAAUACAACACUCCUCCUGCAACUAGUAUUAAUUACUUGGUGUUACAGUUUUAACUUCCUCAUUCAAUUAAAGCUUCAGAUUGUGAUUAACUAAUGCUCCAUUUCUACUACUACUGUAUAUAUCUAUUAUCUACUCGAUGAUGCAUUUACUUGCUCUUCUUCAAUAUUUAAGUGACAUGAAUAUUAUUGCCUUCUUGUAGUUUUUUUUUUUCUCUCAAAGCCAUAUCUAUGUAAUACAUAUAAUAUCCUCCUCCUCCUCCUUCUGAGUAGUUGAAUCUGAAUCUGCUAACUAGUAGCAAUAAGGUUCCGACCAGCUUCACUAGAAAUCGUCGGAAGGAAUUUGUGAUGAUGGAUGGAAAAGGAAGAAAAUUAAGCCUGAAUUAAUGAUAAGUAUAAGCUGGAAUCAGCUUUGCCAGACUCGAAGUGGUAUAUGAGAAUUGUACACCUUUUGAUUACUACUAUUUGAAGAUUAAUUAGAAUAAACAAAUUGCUAGGAAAUUAACAAUUGGAAAUUCAUUGUAAGAUGGAUUUUUCUGACACAAUAUUUGAUGUUCCGGUAUCUUGUUGGAUAGAGAUCGGGAGGAUGGUUUAAUAGUAGUGGUAAGGGUCUUAAUCGACUCGAACCCCCAACACUCUUAACAGUAGAGUGGUUUAAUAAUGUCUUUGGGCUGGGCGUUUUCCUACGUACUUGUUGCUUAAGUGGUUCUAGUAUUAAUUUGAGGUUGGGUGGCGAGAGUGUGCAGUCUGGACUAACUCAAACACUGGCCUUUCAGUUUCAGAAGCCUGUCCCAAGAAUAAUGUCCCCGUUUGGCAAAUAAAUUUUUUAAGUGUCUGUCCAAAAUUUUACUGUAACUUACAAAAUUUUACUGUAGAAGUUGUAGGAAAAUUUUUUGAAGUGUAUAAGUUUUUGGAUAUUUUGAAGUGUAUCGUUUAAAAAUUUUGAGAAGUUUUUUCUUGAAAUUAUUGUGGUUAAAGUUGUUAAAAAACUUAAUAAAAAACAAAUUUGGCCCAAAACUUGUUUGCUAAACAGGCUCAAUUGAUUAUGAACAACUUUGAUCGAAUUUUUUUUUUGUUGGUGCCUUUACAGGCAAACCCUGUUCCUGUUCCGCUCCAGAUGCCCAAAUUGUCUUGUCUUUGUGACUGCUGCUGCACACGAAAAAAAGUAACCUCAAGUGAGAACAGAAUAGUUGUUGUAACAGUGAAUGAAAAUGGGCCAAAAAUGAAAAGGAAAAAGGCUCAGCGGGUCAAACCAUGAUACAGGACCAGGACCUGUCUCUCUGAACCCAUACCCAUAUGUUCGAGAUCGACGGACGAUUAGUUUCAUUCACCAAUAAAAGAAAAGAAAGCUCUCCGCAGGCCCAACAAUUAGUCUCUUUUAUUUCAACAAAAAUCCCUCCCUCCUCCCUUUGUCGUUCAAACUCUCUCUCACUCACGUCUAAUAAAUAAUUAAAAAAAAAAAAAAGACUGGUGCUGCUGCUCUUAGUUGUGGUGUGUGGAACAGUGGCCCUUCUCCAGUGCAGAGGUAACUCUCUUUCUCCCUCUCUUUUUAAACUCGUUUUAGUAUUACAUAGUGUUAGACUUAAAAAAGAAACCCUAGAUUUUUUUUUAUAGGUUUCCGUUGCACGCAUUCGCAAAAGUCUCUGUAAAACCCUAGCUUACGUACAAGAAUUGAACAUGGAAUGGAGUCCACAAACCCUGCAAUUCCUAUCGGAAUGCUUCCUUAACACUCUCUCCCCACUCCCCGAACCCCGUCGCCGUGCCGAGUCCGCUCUCUCCGAUGCCGCCGACAAACCCAACUACGGCCUCGCCGUCCUCCGCCUCGUCGCCGAGCCCUCCGUCGACGACCAGAUCCGCCAAGCCGCUGCUGUCACUUUUAAGAAUCACCUCAAGUCCCGUUGGUCCCCGCCUCCUCCCUCCCACGGUGACGCCCAAAUCCUUACCCCGAUUCCCGACCCCGAAAAGGAGCAGAUUAAAACCCUCGUCGUCUCUUUGAUGGUCAAUUCUUCCCCUAGAAUUCAAUCCCAGCUCAGUGAAGCUCUGGCCGUUAUCGGCAAGCACGAUUUUCCGAAAGCGUGGCCUACUCUAUUACCUGAGCUUGUGGCGAGUGUUGAUAAACUAAGCCUGGCGAAUGAUUAUGUCUCUGUUAAUGGCGUGUUAGCUACGCUGAAUUCUUUGUUUAAGAAGUUUCGUUUUCAGUAUAAAACCAAUGAUUUGCUUCUGGAUUUAAAGUAUUGUCUUGAUAAUUUUGCCAAACCCUUGUUGGAUUUGUUUCAAAGGACGGCUAGUUUGAUUGAUCAUGCCGUGGCUUCGGGUGCUGCCAAUGCAGCUACCCUCAGGCCCUACAUAGAAUCUCAGAGGUUGUGUUGUAGGAUUUUUUACUCUCUGAAUUUUCAAGAGUUGCCCGAGUUUUUUGAGGAUCACAUGAGCGAGUGGAUGGUUGAGUUUAAGAAGUAUCUCACCGUUACAUAUCCUGCUCUCGAGGAUAGCAGCGGUGAUGGGCUGGCGCUUGUUGAUGCGCUGCGCUCUGCAGUCUGUGAGAAUAUCAGUCUUUAUAUGGAGAAAGAGGAGGAGUUGUUCCAAGGGUAUUUGAGUGGUUUUGUGGAGGCUGUUUGGGGUCUUCUUCUUGUCGCAUCUGCCUCUUCUAGCAGGGAACAGCUAACGGUCACUGCCAUUAAGUUCCUCACAACUGUCAGCACAAGUGUACAUCAUACUCUAUUUGCAAGGGAUGAUAUCUUGCAACAGAUUUGUCAGAGUAUAGUUUUACCCAAUGUAAUGUUGAGGGAUGAGGAUGAGGAGUUGUUUGAGAUGAAUUAUGUGGAGUUCAUAAGGAGGGAUAUGGAAGGGAGUGAUCUUGAUACUAGGAGGAGGAUUGCCUGUGAACUCCUCAAGGGAAUUGCCUUGCAUUACAAGGAAAAGGUCACUGAGAAGGUCUCUCUUCAGAUCAACAGUUGUUUGGGUUUGUUUAAUGAGAAUCCAGCUGCAAAUUGGAAACAAAAGGAUUGUGCUAUCUAUUUGGUUACUUCGCUUGCCAACAGAAAAGCGGGUGGGACUUCAUUUUCUACUGAUCUAGUUAAUGUCGAGAGCUUUUUUAGUUCUGUAAUUGUUCCUGAGUUGCAAAGUCAGGAUGUCAAUGCAUUCCCUAUGUUGAAAGCAGGAGCUCUGAAGUUCUUCACCAUGUUUAGGAACCAGAUAUCAAAACCUAUUGCGCUGGCAUUGCUUCCAGAUGUAGUCCGGUUCCUUAAUGCAGAGGCAAAUGUAGUUCACUCGUAUGCGGCAAGCUGCAUUGAGAAACUCUUGCUGGUCAAAGAUGAAGGGGCUAGACCAAGGUACACAUCCUCAGAUAUCAGUCCAUUUUUGUUGGUCUUGAUGACAAAUGUUUUUAGUGCCUUGCAGAAGCCAGAAUCUGAGGAGAAUCAGUAUGUUAUGAAGUGUAUCAUGCGAGUUCUUGGAGUUGCUGAAAUCUCUCGUGAGGUUGCUUUACCUUGCAUCAAUGGGCUGACAACAGUUCUCAAUAGGGUCUGCGAAAACCCCAAGAAUCCUGUGUUUAACCACUAUCUUUUUGAAUCUGUGGCUGUUCUUAUUAGACGGGCUUCCGAGAAGGACCCUUCUCUCAUUUCUGCAUUUGAAGCCAGCCUUUUCCCUUGCCUUCAAUUCAUCUUGGCCAGAGACAUCAAUGAAUUUUUUCCUUAUGCAUUCCAGCUGUUGGCUCAGCUUGUGGAGUUAACACUCGUGCCUGAUAAUUAUGUUGAGAUAUUCAAGAUCCUUCUUUUACCUGAGUCAUGGAAGAAGUCAGCAAAUGUUCCAGCUCUUGUUCGUUUGCUCCAGGCUUUCCUUCGAAAGUCACCUCUUGAGAUGAUUCAGAAGGAAAGAUUGGAAAGUGUGCUUGGGAUAUUCUCCAGACUUGUUUCAUCUCCUAGCACCGAUGAUCAAGGAUUUUAUGUGCUGAAUACAGUGAUUGAGAAUGUUGCAUAUGACGUAAUCUUUCCGUUUGUACAGCAGAUUUGGGUUAUACUGUUUAACAGGUUGAGUUCCAGCAAAACAGUGAAGUUUGUUAAGAAUCUGAUAAUAUUUAUGUCUCUUUUUCUGGUCAAAUAUGGUUCUCAAACCCUUGCGGAUACAAUAAAUGCAGUUCAGCCAGACAUAUUUCGUACAAUUUUGGAGCAGUUCUGGGUACCAAACCUCAAGCUGAUCACAGGUUCCCUUGAGCUAAAGCUCACUUCAGUUGCUUCAACCAAACUUAUCUGUCAAUCUCCAGAUAAUUUGGAUUCUAAGACUUGGGGUAAACUGCUGGACAGCAUUGUGACACUUCUUUCACGACCUGAGGAGGAUAGAGUGGAUGAUGAACCUGAUAUUCCUGAUUUUGGUGAGACUACGGGCUAUAAUGCUACCUUUGUCCAUCUUUACAAUGUUGGGAAAAAAGAGGAUGAUCCUCUCAAGGAAAUUAAGGAUCCAAAGCAAUUUUUGGUUGGGUCUUUGGCUAAUCUUUGUGGUGCUUCCCCUGGAAUGUAUACCCCAGUCAUUGGUCAAUUUGUUGAGCAAUCUAAUCAAGCUGCAUUGCUGCAGCUUUGCAACACAUAUAAUGUCUCAUUAGUUUGAAGAAGAAGCUGUCUCAUGGUAUGCCUUCCACUAGUGCAUCUGUUAAUCAGAUACACGAAAUGUCUAUGUUUUUGUAUUGAAACUGUGGACGUACUUGAUGAGGAUAGUAAUUACUCUGUACAUUUGAUGAAUGAUCUUUCUUCUUGUUAUUUUAAUUUCUGCUUAUGUAUUGCUUGAUAAGUUGAUAGGGAGUGUGGUUGAAUAUGCUUUUUGAUCUUCUUCUGUGUGUAUAAUGACAUUUGUGGAACCAAGAUGAACAAUGCUGUGCUUAUGCAUGUUUUAUUGUUAUCUGCUGCUGAAAAGUAUUUGGGGUGUAUUAUAUGAAGAUAGUCGUUUUGGAGGCCUUUGCUCUUGUACACUGUGUCUUUAUAUAUUGUGUGUUGAUAUUAUGAGUUAUGCUUUGAUGAGAAUCCUGAUGUUCUUUUACCAAAAAAUGAUAUUUAAUUUGGCCUUAAUUGUGGAGAUUAUUGUUGCUUCUGUUUGUUACUUGUGUAGUGGGAGCAACUUCCGUAUAUUCAUCUUUUAGAAUUUGUAUUGCCUGAAAAGAGGCUGAUAGAAAAUGCUAAAAGUUAUGGCAUAAAUUAUGUUCAAGGUGCGCCAUGAAAUGAGUCCCACGUUUAACCUCCAUGUUCUCUUUCUUACUUUCUAUAUUCCUCUCGAUGCUGGUAAACACUGCAACAAUUAAGACUCCAUGUCAAUGCCUGAUUGUUGAAACUAUGUGAUUGGAUGCGCAUUUCUAUCAUGUUUUGCCAACUUAAACAUCAUUGGUCUGAUUUUGAAAAUGCGGUUUCUUGUCGCAGAUCUCUGGGUUCGUGUUAUUCAGUGUUGGAUAUUGAAGUGAGCAGGACUUUUGCAUUUUAUUGACUGGUACAACGAGUUAUAGGUUCAAUCUAUAAUUUGGGCUUUUUCUGGCUCGUGGUUGUGUUGCAAUGUCCAUUGCUUCAUCUACCGGCCAGACUGAUAUGGAUAAGCUAUUGAAUCAGCCCUGAAGUCUGGGAUUUUCUGGCUUCCCGUGAUGUGGUGAUCAAUGCUGCUGUUUUUUUGUUUUUUUCAUGCUGUCCAGAUGCUUGUUGAGCACAUUUGACAUCAUAGUCAGAAAAUGAUACUUGUGUUGGCAUUUAAAUUUUGCUUCCAAAUUUUGAUGCUGGCCUUCGGCAUUUUCAUUCGGUUGUAUUGUUAGGUCACUGGGGGAAGAGCCUGUGGGAGUCUUGAGUUGCUGUAAUUUCUAUGUAUUUGCGCUCGCUGAAUGUGUAUUUUAGGUAUUUUUGCUGUUGAGGUUUUACACAUAAUUAAAUCUUAAACACAUAAUUGGUGUUGGGGUAAUCAGUAAUUUCCGACUACUGUGACGCAUUGCAGAAAAUUUGAAGUAUGGGGAGUGAAAUGGAGACUUGGAACUUGUAGACUUGUAGUAGUUACGACUAACGCACUUUUGCAGGUUAAUAAAUUUUUUACAGAUGAAUGGGUUAUGGUACAUGGUUUUUGGUGCAUCCCUCGAGCGACAUUGGAUGUUUGCACAAAUUGGACCGACAUUGGAUGUUGCACAAAUUGGACAAUUCCUGUGUACAAUUUGUCUUUGCCAUUUGACACAUGUUGGCUCCAUGCGCCACAGGGAAAGUUCUAGUGAAAGGUCGUGGGGUAUAUGGAUCCUACUCUUUUUCUUUGGAAUGAGCUGCGGUUGGAGUAGGAGUACGUGCAUGUGCAUGCAUGCUAUUCUAAGCGUCUAUUUGGGGUAGCCAUAGGUCCAACCUGCUCAAAGACCGUGCGAAGGUUCCAAAGCACAUGCCGUAAACUUAAUUCUGUGUCAAAUUCGCUUGUUUGUUUCGUACAUAUUGCAAUUGCCAUAUUAAGAGAAAAGUUUCCUUGCACGUAUAACUAUUCAUAAAAUUCCCUUUUUUUUUUUUGAAAAAAAAAAGGCACAUAAGCAAGUUAGGAGGAACACUAAAAGAAACAGCCCAAGAGUACGAGCGGACAAGAGAACAGUGAAGUCCACUUUGGGCCGUUCGUUUGCAAGAACACAACAACAGAGAAGUAGUAGUCUGUCAUUUCUCCAUAUGUAUUCUUGGGCCCUUUGUUUGCAGGCGGCCAUGGAUUGAUGCGCUCGUAAUCAAUAGCUGUAAUGCCGUCAGAGACCGAUAAAAUUUGAUAUUUCGUACUACUAACUUUUUUUUCCAACAAUAGAGAUGAUGAAAUUUUUAAAUCUUAAUCUUCAACCCAACUCAAAAGGCAACUGUUGACUUUCAAGUUGGAUCAAGGGACUUAAACUCUCAUCACUCAACCCUCACUGGGAGAAAGGGGAGAGGGAAACACUCAGAUUGACGCUAGCUAUUACCACUCUCCAUGACUCUUGUUUCUUUCCAACAAUAGAGAGGAAGAAAUUUUUAAACCUUAAUCCUCAACCCAACUCAAAAGUCAAUUGCUGACUCUCAAGUUGGAUCAAGGGACUUAAACUCUCAUCACUUAACCCUCACUGGACCGAUGUGGGAGAAAGGGGAGAGGGAAACACUCAGACUGACGCUAGCUAUUAUCACUCUCCAUGACUUUUGUUUCUUUCCAACAAUAGAGAGGAAGAAAUUUUUAAACCUUAAUCCUCAACCCAACUCAAAAGGCAAUUGCUGACUUUCAAGUUGGACCAAGGGACUUAAACUCUCAUUACUCAACCCUCACUGGACCGAUGUGGGAGAAAGGGGAGAGGGAUAUUUCGUACUACUAACUUGAGGGGGUGGGAGUGAGACCUUCCUCUCAAAUCGCUCAUUGGUUAAACUGUUCGCAUGGAGUAAUCGGUUUUGGAAUCAUAGUUAUAAAAUCUGGCCCAACCCACGGCUGUACUGGUCAAUCAAGUGAACCGGUCAUAGAGCCCGGGCUAGGUUACUAAUAACAUCGGUAGGUCAAGCACCGAAUUCGUUAAUCGACUCAACGGUCAACCACUGUAUCAGGAAAAAACCGUCAGUUGAACUGUCAACUUAAAAAUUUUAGUAUUUUUAUAAUUUAAAAUAUAUUAUUACAUUAUAUAAUAUAACUGUUGUACAACCUACGAUUGAACUGAUAAUCUAUAAAUCAGUCACCUCUUCGGAUCAAGUUCCAAAUCGGGUUUGAUAACUAUGAUUAGAAGAGAUGCUACGAGUUUUAAAUUCUUGAGACCAACGGUGCAACAUAUAGAGGAGAGGAGACAAGAGAGGUAUGAGAAGAGACUUUUGACUUUUUUUAAAAAAGUUUUUUUACUAGUAUUUGAUUGUACGUAAUUGUUAGGUGUUUGUGUUUAGUUGAAGAAAUAAAAGAGGAAUGGGGCAGGAACACUUGGCCUUAAGCUCAAUUGGUGCAGUUAUUGUAUUCUUUUUAUGAUUUGAUGUAGAUUCAUGUAAUUUUGUUAUAUUUUAUGAUUUAAUAUACACCUGCAUAAGUAAAACUGAGAGUCUCAUUGACCUUGACAAAUACCAUAUUCAUUUUGCAUUCAAGCUACAGAAGCUACACAUACUACCACCAGCCACUAAGCCAAUGGGAGGCCGUGGACCUUUCGCCUCUCUCUCUCUCUUCUUUUAAUUUGGGAAUCAGUUUCAUGCCCUAAUGUUAACCCUUUUUUGGUUUAAAUCAAAAUAAGACCUUCUUCUUCUUCUUUUCAUUGUUAUUUUGUUAAUCCAUUAAAGAAAAGGUAGUAAAAUAGACAAAUUCCGUCUUGCAAAACUGCCUGACUUCCACUAUACUGACACGUGAGGGUUCCAACAUAAACAAGCAUAUAAUAAUAGACCAGGAGUCUAAUAGCGAAUCCAUCCAUCCAUCCAUAAUGCUGUUUUUUUGCCAAAUGACGCUUCACAGUCGCAGCUGCAACUGAGGUGCUUUGCAUUUUCUCCCAACCCGAGACUGUUCCAGCUGUUCCUGAGUUAAUACUAGGAGAAUGUUAGGUGAAGAAUUAAUUAGUUGGGGCAAAAACUAAUGCACGAUAAUAAUUACGGCCUUCACAAAGAGAAAGAGGCCAUCCCUUCUCAUGUUAGAUUAAGGGGGUCCAGUGUGGAAAUGGGCAUUAAAUUAAUUGUAACCACCCCCCAAUUAAAGUAAUGGGAGGGAAUUUAGAAGAUUCUGAGAUACCUAGAUAGUGGUCUGCAAAAUUUGUUUAAUGAAUUGUAAUUACUGCUACUAAAUUGGCUAGGUUGGGGGGGUGGGGACCGGAAUCUUAUGAAAAUUACUAGUAGGACAAGAGGAGCGAUCUUUGUAUGCAAUUGCCACCAAAUGGUCCUCCAAUAUCUGGAUUUUAACAAAGUGAAGGGCAUAAGAUCUUCUAAUCCAAAUGGAAUCUUGAAAUCAUCCAUCAGGGAUAAGAUCUUUCGAUAAGUCCAAUUCAGCUUAAAGCAUUCAUUGUUCUUAAUCUUUGGUGUGUGUGAUUAGUAGAGGCAUCAUAUACAUGAGUUUUCAAAGCCUUUGGAGCCACCGGUUACGUACUUAGCCCUAUAAUUAACUCAAUUAACACCAUUUACCACUUAAUUCUAAGUGGAAAAUUUUUCGUAUUUGGUAAUCAGUCAAGUUUUAAUUAAACGGGCGGGUUAGAGAGUAUUAAUUAAUUACUUAAAUCUUUUGCGCAAGACUGAUUUUAAUGACUCAUUACUCUUGAGAAAGAGUUUAAACACAUGAAAGAAGCUGCCCAAGACUGAUCGAUCCAACCACUACCACUUUUAUACUCAUAGUCUGAUUUGCGCUCACUUGCAGAUUCAAUCGUUGUACAAAAGGGAUGGAGAGUGAGUUUUCCUUACUUUUGACCUUUCUCUGGGAUAAGAAUUUCAGUACCCUUCACCUUUUUAUCUCUAUUUGAAUGUGGUGGUGCAUAUAUUCCCUUCAAAAAACAAAUUCAAAAAAAUGAAAAUCCUGUUCGACUAGCUAACAUAUAUAAACAUGGGGAUGAAUGGGCACAUGCUAUGUACUAUUUGUUUCUUGAAAAAGGAAAAGAGGAAGAGAUAAGACUUCCGAUCGAGCCCAAAAUGACGCCUUCAUUCAUUUGAAGUUCUACAAUAAUAGCAUAAAAUAAUAAUAAUAAUAAUGUUACUUACUACAAUCUUCCAAAAUUUCACGAGCUUAUAUAUGAUACUAUGAAAUAAAUAAGUAGAUAAAAGUGGCCCCCCCCGGGGGUGGGGGUGGGGGGAGGGGAGGGGUAAUUGACUUGAGGUUGGUUGCAUUCUGUACCUUUUCUUGUCCAACAUAAGUGAAACAUAAUAGCCUGAAUUAAGGGCGUCCAAAACCUCAGCCAUAAAUAAAUAGAUACACUCUAUUAUAUAUGUUUAUGAAUGGUAGAGUUAGGAGAAUGAUUUGGAAUCCACCACAGCACUUUAACAACACAAAAUUAUUCCCAUUCGUGCGGGCAACAGGCCGGGGGGGAAUAAACUACUAAGGCAACUAUAUAUAUAAAUAUACAUGGUAGAAAGAAUAAUACUCCUACUAAUAAUCUAAAUAGUAUAUAAAUAUGCACGUCAACUUGUCCCUUCAAAGUUGCAAGGAUCGUUGUUUCAAAAAAAAAAAAAAAAAGCUACUAUGUAUAUAAUUUGCACUCUCAUAUCUCAUCUACUAACAUCUUCCAUCCUCUAACUAAACAUGUCAACUACUACUAUACUUCUGCAGAGUGCAGCGCUACUAGCUAUAGUAUGUAUAACAUAGCAUUUGAUUAGUAGUGUUUUGCAGGUCGAAUUGAAUUGAAUUGCUUUCGCAGCACUGCACAGACAAAACUAGUACGUCUGUUACGGACUCCCCAAUACGGUACUGGACAACAUCUGCAUGCAUGCAGCAGCAGGAACAUGAACAGUAAUAUUAUUAUUGUCCCCAGCCCUAUUCUUGCUGCUUUUCUAUACAACAACAAUAACUUGUAUCGCUUGAUGGUCUUGAAAUUCAAAAGACCUAUCCAUUGUGAAAUUCAGCAAUUACUUUUUGUGUUGCUUAAUUAUGUUCGAAAGCGCUUCCAUCAACUUUUCAUUACGCUGAUUGUUGAACAAUAUAUAUAUAUAUAUAUAUAUAUAUAUAUAUAUAUAUAUAUAUAUAUAUAUAUAUAUAUAUUUGCAUGCAAAACCAUGCAGGACAAAGUCGAACCAACAUUCGUGUACUGUUGGGCGUUAAUACAUGCUCCAUUUUACGCACCUGAAAUGAAAUUAGGUUUGGCCGGCCGGAACCGGAUCAUGAGCUGAGUAUUAAUUAGUACUAUUUCUAGUUUAAAUCAUCUGUCGACGUCCGCAAUUGAAACACUGAAUACGUACAUAUCUCUCAUCCCUAGCCACCACUUUGAUGAAUUAAUUAGCUGCUGCUGGCUGCUGCUGCUGCAUUCUGAGUGGAAGUCUUGGUGCCAGGUCUCAAUUACAUAAACUUCAAACUUUGUCAGUUGGAUGGUUGUUCAAACAUUUUAAUUCUCGAUCUUGAGUUAAGUUUUGACCGAAUUUACAAGGUUUGAUUCGUUUGCAUCCCUUCGCGUAUAUUGGUAUAUAUAAAUAAGGCAAACCCAUGCAUUUUUUGUGGUACAAAAAUAUUUUUGACACAAGAUUCAAGGGUUAUCAAAUAUCAUCCUUUUGACAGAAAUUAUCUGCUCGCGUUACUUGCCUGGUAUAUAUACACGGAGAAAUCUCAUUUCCAAGGUCAUCUAUAUGUUUAUCUAUAGAAACUACACAACUUCAAGAUCAUUAAUUACUUUGUAUUUAUACACUUCAAAGGGACGUCCAUCAUAAAUUUUUCACCGGAGCCUAAAAGGAGAUCACAAAUCCUAGCUCACGAUAAUAAAGAUCUUUAAACUUCAGAUAUUUUCAUCUGCAAGGGUGUGAUUUAACUCUUAUGUUUUGGUAUCAAAAUUUGUUCGACUAGAGAUAGGUACAUUAUUGAUUUUCAAAAAUCACUUAGUCAAAAACAAAUACGAAAUGUUGUUCGAUUCCUUGCGAUUACAGAAUGAGAACCUGGACAUUGGGAGUUCGAACUUGAGAUUAAACACGAAUUCUAAAUUUAAGAAUUUAAGAUUGAGCUCGAACUUGAAUUUGAAUUGUUUAAUAAAAUUAAAUCAAACCCAAUUUGGCUCGGGGAGAGCGGGAGGGGCAAAAUUUCCUCUUGCCUUGAGGUUGAUGGGCAGUAGGACAGGAACAUGUCCAGGGCGUCCAACAUUAAAACGAGCGUGAUAGGAACAGUAGGGAUGUUGAUACGUCUCAACCGUUGUGGCAAAAACCACGUGGGCUAUGAAUAAUGAGGCAAAAUGAUGACCUGUACAGCGGGACCCGCUGCUCUAACAAAUUGGGGCAGAGUCUGAUAGUCUGAGGAGGGAGCUCUGCGGUCUGCGCAGUACAGUAUUUAAAGAGUACUUAAUUCCCCUAGCCGCAGUUGUGGGGGGUGCUGAACACACGCCGCAAAUCUGUCCCCGGAUAAUUAACGGCUUAUGCAAGCGGAAAAAAUAAAAAUACAAAAAGAAAAGUUGAUGGUAUUCUACUUAGGAGUGAACGCACACAAUGCGUUCGGUGGUACUUGACUCAAACUUGUUGAUUCGGUACAAGUUGACCUAAGUUUGUUUUAUGAACUAGUCAAACUAAAUAGAAACAACAUUUUACGUGGAUAGAGAAUCUGGAAAUGCAUGACACUAAGGCCUUGUUUGGAUUGCAUUUUUCUAGAUUUUUUUUAGUAGCGAUUUGAUAUAUAUGAUAUAAAAAGAUAAUUAAAAAUGUGUUCACGAAAAACGUAAAUUUUUUUUUUUUGAAAAAUAGCAAUCCAAACACACCAUAAUUUUUGAAUUUUGUCGAAGUAGUUCAAUUUCUUGAAUUACAUGGACUCCAGCUCCCUUAUUAAUAUUAAUACUAUUUCAUAAAUUUCUCAAGACUGUCCUCGCUUUCAUGAUUACAUUUUUUUUUCUUCUUUUUAUUGUCCUAAUCAUAGAACAAUUAAAAAAUUUCAAUGAUGUGAUUAAAAAUUUUUAUUGUCCUUGCUUUCUAUCCUCAUUUUUAGUUCUCACGAAAUAAGAGAAAUGAUUUUGGAUUCAUCGGCUAGUAUUAUGCGAUUGUUUCGCAUUCCAUAGAUAAAUCUGGCAUUUUGAGAUGUUUACAAUGCAUGAGUUGAACUGCCAUUUCUCUCAAUUUUUUAGAUAGAAACUUUUUAAACCAAUUCAUCUCUCUAAUUCUUUUUUUUUUUUUCAUCCCACUUAAAACUCAUAAAAAAGAAAAUCAGAUCUUUUUCUUUUCCCAGUAUGACGCAUGUCAAACGAAAACAAAAUAAUAAUAAUAAUAAUAAAUCGUUAGACAUUUAGGGGCUUGGCUCAAAGAAUCAUCAGGUGAUUAUGAGUGUGUUUGGAUAGUAAGUUAUUUGGCCAAAUAUAUUUGCUUACAUCAUUAUUACAAUUUCCAAUACACAUUUUUAUCUUUCCAAUUACUUUUUUAUUUCACAUACAUCACAUCAUAAAAAGUGCUACAGUAAAAAUAUCUCAAAUAACUUACAAUCCAAACACACUCUAUAUAAACCAAAAAAAAAAAAAAAAGUAAUCCCGUUCCCAGCAUCUGCCCAACAGCAUAAAAGUACUAUAUGAGAAUGAAUUAAAAGAAAUAGGAGUAGAGCUAUAGCCUAUAGGACUAAUACUAGUCUACUUUAGCUUGUACAGUCAACGUUAGACCUGUAUACCACUACAUACAGUCUUCUGCGUGUUUACUCUUGUACAGACUACAGAGCCCUGCCCGCCAGAUUGCAGACAAUGAAAUGGACGUGAACAGAAGGAGUCUUCGUUAUAACGUCGUCAAACUCCAAGUCCCAUGUUCGCGAAUGUCCUCCCAAUUUUGCCCCAGUGUCCUACGGAAUCAAAUUCAUUUUCUUAGCAGACGUUAGAAAGUACGGAUAAUUUCAGACUGAUAAUUUCACUGUCCUUCCCUGAGAUUACGGAAUCAAAUUCAUUUUCUUAGCAGACGUUAGAAAGUACGGAUAAUUUCAGACUGAUAAUUUCACUGUCCUUCCCCUGAGAUUUUAAAAUUUUCACUUACCUCCCCUCCUAUCAGUCAUUUGGAGCCCAACUCUUACAUCACUAAUGACUAAAUGACUCUAUUACCCUUACACAUAUAUGUGAAGGAAAAGAGUUAAAUGUUUGCUAACUACGUUGAUCAUAAUUUGGAUUGUAAAAAGUUAAUUAAUUUGUUGUCUAAAAAUAGAGCCAAUAUUAGGUUCAUUUUGUUUAAUUUAUAUAUUCUCGACAAAUAAAAGAAAUCAGAUGUAAUGCAGUUGAUGAAUUAAAGGAUUUAGACACGAGAAAUAAUUAAGCUGUUUGCAAACUAAAUUAACCAUAAUUUGAAAUGUAAAAAAGAAAAUCUAAUAUGGCAUCUAAAAAUGGAUCAAAUACUAGGCAUCCUUUUUUCAAUUUAUGUGCUUGAUAAAUAAAGGGAAUCAAAUAUAAAGAGGUUUCAGUUGGUCUAAUUUUUUUUUUUAUAUAAUUGUACUGAUAGCAAAAAUCUUAAGGUAUGGAAAAAAAUUGUUCUGUUAAUUUUUGAAAGUUAUUUUUUGUUAUGAAUGAUGGAAAAUUUUUAUUGACCUUGUGUUUGUAAUGGCCCUAAAGUAAAUUAACAAGUUAGAUCAAAUAUUCAAUCUAACUCGUAUAAUAGGGAGGGGGCACUUUUGGCAUAUAUAAAUCUGCGCACGCCUGAUAUUUUUUUUUUCCCUGGGCAAAAUUGUUACAGGAAAAUUGAUUUCAAGGGAAGUUGAUUAUUAUUUUUAGAACCUCAGGGAAGACAGUGAAACUGUCAAAAACCCCAAGGGAGGUUUCUGAAAUUAUCCCUAGAAAGUAAUGUCCCAGUUUGAUUCUCGCCCUCGCUUGCCCAUCUUCUCGCUAGUACACUAAAAUAAAAAAGGUAAGGGAAUGCAUGAUGACAUUCACAGGUUUUUUCCUUAUUUGAUUGUUAUGUAAAUCAAAGUAUUUUCUGCAGUUGGCAGUUCUGAAAACCCAAUUAUGAGACAUGAAGAAGAAGAAUAUGUGCUCGACAGUGUCGUUAAAGGUUGGUACUAGAAUUCUUCAAUGGCAAAACACUACACUGAUGUAACAAGUGUGGAUUCCUGUCCUGUUGGGCAAUAAUAUUGAAUUCGGUUUCAUACAUUACUCCUAGUAGUAAUGUAGUAUAGAGUACGUAUGUGCUUGAGACUGUGGAGAGUGAUUGAUGCACACGCACAUUGCACUCAAGUGGAGCCACGACAAACUGACCUGCUCCUAUAUAGUACUACUCUGUAAGUAAGUAAAGACUACAGAGAGAGAGAGAGAGAGAGAGAGAAGGGGGUGGGGAGGGAGGUGGGGGAUUGGAGAUCAGAGGAGGAAAGUGUUUUUUUUUAAAAAAAAAAAAACCAAACAAACGAAAAGAGGAGAAUGGUUUUGGGGAUUUGGUGGGAGGGGCAAUUAGUGGUACUAGACUACUGCUAGUGGUAAGUAACGUCUCCUAUUGAUGAUGAUGGUGCAGCUAUUGCUAUUUGCUGCAGCAGCACAAGCGGUUUUCUUUUCUUUAAUUAUUUUUGAUGAUCUUCUGAUGGACAAAAAUGGUUUUAUGUUUGAUUUGAUAUCAUAUCAGCUUUGAUAAGAAGACAGCAGGUAAUCAAAGCCUUCACAGAGAGAGAGAGAGAGAGAGAGAGGCUCUUGUUGUUGUAAGUUGUAACUUGUAACUGAAAAGUGAAAGGAGGAAGAGAAAAAAACCAAAAAAAAAAGAAAAAAGAAGAAAGUGGAAUUGCUGAUCAUUUUUUUUUGGUCUCUCUAACGUAGUAGUUUACACUUCCCUCGCCCAGUCGCUCGUUACACUUGGAAAUAAACUACACUACUGUUACUCCUCCUGCAAAGCAGCCGCCUUCUUUCUCCUCCUCCUGACGCCUGACUCCUCUCCACCACUCCUCCUCAGCUUAUUACCACACAAUAUAAUAUAUUAUUGUACCAUACAACCGGUAGCAGCAGCAGCAGCAGCAGCGGUAGCAGUAGCAGUGUUGUGUUUUGGUAAUGAAUGAAGAUAACGGAGGAGGAGAGGGGUUUUGUUUGGAUUUUUGCUCUUUGAUGAUGAAUAUGAUGACGAUGGUAAAAUGGGUUUGGGUUGGCUCAACUGCGUGACCAAGCCUUCCCCCCCCCGGCCCCCACCACCUGUUUUCUUCUUCAACUUCAAGCUACCCGGCCCAAUCUUUUCCUUCCUUUUUGUUUUUCUUUGUUACUACUCCCUCCUCCUCACUGCUCCCAGGCUUAUUCUUCAAACUCUUCUUUACGACUAUUAGUUUUGCUACUGCUCUCUGAGCUCUGGGUAUAAAAUACUUGUGUGGGUUUUCGAUGGCUCAUGUUGAUGGGUUCAGAGGUGGUGCCUCGUCUGCUCCCUCUCACGCUCUGCCCGCUCGUGAUACAGGUGACACAAUAUCAAUGUUGUUUUUUUUUUCAUUUUUUUAAUUUAAACGUAGGUUUUUCCGAAUUUUAGUGUUUCAUCUGGAAAAUGACACCAAAUAGUCUUAUCUACCUGAGGAAAAUCAAUGGGGCGGGCUCUACCUAGUGAGCAUGUACGCCUUCGUUUCAUGGCAGGACAUAAUGGCAAAGCUUGGAAUCCUCUGGGCUGUUUACUGUGGUUUUUGUUCUUUCUUUGUUUCUCCGUUUCUAAGCCUUUAAAUUGUUCGCUCAAGCAAAUGAAGGAUGAGGGAUACUUGAUAAGCAAAACUGUUGUUUCAUUGGAAAAACCCGUAUGUCUGGCGAACUACCCCCUUAUUUUCCUUAAAAAACCAAAAAUUGUGUCAAUAUUGGUCGUCUGUUUGGCUUCGGAUGAGAAGGAGCUAAGGGGACGAAAAAGUUAAAAGGAGAAUAAGCCUAUUUGUUUACUUAAUUUCUGGGCACUCGAGCGGCUCAUGAAUUUAUUGUUUGCUUUAAUCAUCUGAUUCUAUCUUUGGUAGGCCAAGGAGAUGACAUGUAUACAGAGCUAUGGAAGGCUUGUGCAGGACCCCUUGUUGAUGUUCCUCGCGCUGGCGAGAGAGUUUUCUACUUUCCGCAGGGUCACAUGGAGCAAGUGCGCUUUCCCGUCCCCUCUGAUCUCCUUUUCUAUUUUCCUUUUCCUUCAAUCCACCGAACACUUUUUAGUUUCUUCUGCUACAAUUUCUCAUGCACUGUAGCAACGUGCGCUCUGUUUCUUCUUCAGUUGGAGGCAUCAAUGAAUCAGGAAUUGAAUCAACAAAUUCCACAGUUCAAUCUACCUUCUAAGAUCCUCUGUAAAGUAGUUAAUGUUCAGUUGCUGGUACGUGUUCCACCUUUUCCAGUUCUGAUCUGUCUUUGAGGAACACUUUCCCGCACAUUUUUCAUUUUAACCUGCUUAUCUCUCAUUCUUCGCUUUAUAGGCAGAAGCAGAGACAGACGAAGUCUAUGCUCAGAUAACAUUACAUCCUGAAGUAAAUGUAAGCAUUUUUUAUUUGCUUUUGUUGUUUAUAAUAAGGACUUCUAACUUGAUUGGGCUUAUGGUGUAUGCUUAUUUUAGUAGUUUAGUUGCUUCAUGCUGGCUAUCGAUCUUCUCGGUGUUUUGUCUGCUUUAUCUUCCAUACCUUGUGACCAUCAUUUGAAUGACUGUGUGCCCUACUGUCCAUGCAUUUGCAGGAACAGGAACCUUCGAGUCCUGACCCAUGCACUCCUGAUCCUCCAAAACCGACCAUUUACUCAUUUUGUAAGAUAUUAACAGCAUCUGAUACUAGUACGCAUGGUGGUUUCUCUGUUCUCCGCAAACAUGCCACUGAAUGUUUACCUCAACUGGUAAUUUUCCUUCCUCUUUUCUAUUUCACUCAUCCUCAGUUUAAUUCUACUAAAUUUAUACGGAUUGCAUGACAAGCUCAACUGGUUGAUAGACAUAUGCUGCUCCAAUUACCAAAUGUUUUGCGUACAAAUUGAAAAUUGACUUUCCAAAUAAAUGGGCCUGUCCCUGAAAAUUGAAGUUGUCUUUGGUUACUUUCAGGAUAUGACUCAAGCAACUCCAAGCCAGGACUUGGUUGCGAAAGACCUUCAUGGUUAUGAAUGGCGAUUUAAACAUAUAUUCAGGGGCAAGUGUUCUGUGUUUCUCGUAGCAUAAUAUUGCAGAUUCUUUUUUCACUUGGCCAUUUUUUCCCCCAUUAAAGCUACAAAAAAAAAAAAUUAAAUAAGGAGGGCACGUCCUAAUGGUGAUGCUCAGUAUCAACUGAAAUUGAAUUCUUAAGUUUCCUUGUAUUCAUGGAUGAGCAGGCCAACCUCGGAGACACCUACUUACAACUGGAUGGAGCACAUUUGUAACUUCCAAGAGAUUAGUUGCUGGCGAUGCAUUUGUUUUCCUUAGGUAAACCAUGUUCUCAACUUUAGUUACACUUUCUGGUUAUGGAUGCUUUUAGGUGUUUGCUCAAUUGUUGGUUUACAUUUUAUUGUAGGGGUAGUAAUGGGGAAUUGCGCGUUGGCAUUCGCCGUCUUGCCCGGCAGCAAAGCCCGAUACCUCAAUCUGUCAUUUCAAGCCAAAGCAUGCAUCUUGGAGUGCUUGCAACUGCAUCACAUGCCAUUAUAACUCAAACCUUGUUUGUCGUGUACUACAAGCCAAGGUACACAUACACUAUUUUUUCUACCAUGCAUAUGUACCCUAUUUCUAGGAUUUAGGUUUUAUUUCUUAAGUUGUGCAAUAUUUAUCAGGACAAGCCAAUUUAUCAUUGGAUUAAACAAAUAUCUAGCGGCUGUAAGUCACGGAUUUUCAUUGGGCAUGCGCUUUAAAAUGAAAUUUGAAGGCGAAGAUUCUCCUGAGAAGAGGUUUGUUGAUACAUUUUGUGUUUGUGUUAGGAGAGGAUUCUAACUCAUGAACCUUAAUCUCAAGGAUCAUGUUUGUCAGGUUCACAGGCACUAUAGUUGGUCUAGAAGAGGUAUCUCCACAGUGGCCAGAUUCUCUGUGGCGUUCAUUGAAGGUUGGCGGUGGCUUUUGAUUCUUUCAUCUCAUUCUUAUGUCUUUUAUGUCAUAGAUUGUUUAUGAAUGUCUUCCAAAUAUUGCGCCGUAUUAGAUUCAAUGGGAUGAACCAGCAUCAAUUAAGAGGCCAGAGAGGGUCUCUCCUUGGGAAAUAGAGCCAUUUGCAGUUGUUUCAUCAGCAGAUGUUGCUGCCCAACCAGUACCAAAUAGCAAAAGACCUAGGCCCCUUGAUCUUCCAACCUCUGGUAUAAACAUCUUUGGCCUUUAUGUUGUUUUGAAAUGUACCAUGUUUGACUUGUAUAGUAAUAAUUUGUGUCGGAUACAUAGAAAAUAGAGCCAUUGCUGCUGCUUCUCCUUUCUGGUGUCCGGAAGCAACUCAAUUGCUUGAAUUAAGCCACUAUGACAACAUUACUGAAGUCCAAAGCACGGAUGAUCAAUCUUUCUGGCCACCUAAGCCGAAAAAUCUUAACAGCAACAUCUGCUCUGGUUCUAGCUUCUCUUCUCGUGGAACUUGGCCUCGUCCACUUGCUAAUGGCUCAUUAAACCAGGAAAAUGUAUCUGCAAAAUCACCUCUUUGUGACUAUGAUUCUCCUAUGUCAUCAAGGGCAAGUAACGGCCAUGUACUUGGCCAAGUUGAAAGGUUCAAAAGGCUGGAGAAUUCGUCAAGUUGCAGAUUAUUUGGCAUUGAUUUAAGAAGCAACUCAAAAAAUCUCUCUCUGCUGGAUAAGGACGGACCUUCUACAGUUGUACCAAAUGGUGCUAAUGAUGCUGAGCCUCCAGUUGGCAUAUCUGAUGGAGAUGUUCUGAAGUCUUGCAAUGAGAUGAAACUGGGCCAAUCAGAGGUGUCACCAAAAGAUGCAACUAACCGACAGGGUUGUUCCACAACUACAAGAACCCGAACAAAGGUUUAGCCAGAUGAUUUUCACCGUCGUCAUUUAAUAUUAGAUGUAGCCCUUUAACAGUGUUUAAUUUUUGUCUAUCAUCAGGUGCAAAUGCAAGGGGUUGCUGUUGGGCGGGCUGUUGAUUUGACUGCCUUGGAAAGUUAUCAUGACCUUAUAAGUGAGCUGGAAAAAAUGUUUGAGCUUGAGGGGGAGCUUAGUCCCCGAAACAAAUGGGCGGUUGUCUACACUGAUGAUGAGGGUGAUAUGAUGCUUGUGGGUGAUGAUCCGUGGCAGUGAGUAACUUAACAAUUUUCACCAACCAUUUCCUUGAAAAGUAAAAGAGGUUUCUUUUUAACGUACUAAUUCCUCCUCUUCCCCCCCCCCCACCCACCAACAGAGAAUUUUGCAAGAUGGUUAGGAAGAUCUUUAUAUACUCGAGCGAGGAAGUGAAGAAGAUGAAUACAGGAGACAAAUUCCCUUUAUUAACUCUGGAUGGUGAAGGGACAGUACAGAGCUUAGAUUCGGAGCUAAAGCUGGAAUCUUGAAGUAAUGUCAUCGUCUUCUUUAGUUUUGUAUUGUAUAUCUUAGAGCUAAUCAUCUGCGUCUUUAGUUUUGUAUUGUGUAUCUUGGAGGUGGAACUUGCAAGAGUGUUUCAUGGAACAUAGGCAGGUAUAUCUUUAGUGCUCAGGUUUUUUGGAGUUGGGAGGGUGUGCAAGCCAACCAAGUGACUGGUUUUGACGGAGUCUAGACUUAAACUAUGUUGUAUUAAAGAAAUUUGAAGGUUGGUUUUGGUAAAUGUGAAUGUCUUCUUGCCAUGUUUUUGAUCCACAAGUUACAAUUUAUACAUCUAUCUUUUGAUGGCAAAACAAUUCUAGUUGGUAGCUGGAAUAUGUAUGUGCGCGGCCGCGCGCUUGCUAUGUAAGAUUUUAUGCACUGUGCAGGCAAAUUAUGAAUGUAUAUUUGUAUGUAACUUGGUAGUGAUAUGUGAAGAAUUCCUCGUCUUGAUCUCCAGCAUUCAAGCGAGGAGGGCCAGACAUAAUAUGGCCCCCUAUGUCCAUUAUCCACUUAUUUGCUCUGUACUAGGAUCUGUACCAAUUUGGGCUUAUGUAUCUCUCCGAGUUCCAGGGCAGUGGUCCUCAACUGUUAAAAUGGUUUACAUGCAUGUGAGCCUAGUACGAACUGUUGCAGUCUCUGAGGCAGAAAUUUAGAGAUCCAUGAUUCUGUAUCAAAAUUUCUUUUUCCGUUCUAGUUUCCUGGGUAAUCUAAUAAUCUUACAUAAUUAGCAAAAGGGUUGGUCUCUCCGUUGCUUGAUAUCGGGUGAAAAGGAAGGAAAAUAAUGAUUUUGCACUAUUUUACUGCUGUUCUUUUUUCUCUUUUCAGAACAUCAAGAUUCGAGCUUUUUGUAACAAAGCUGAUCUCCUUUAGCUGUCCAUACCGAUUUCCUGGGGAUGUGUUUUUCAAAGUUGGUCUGUUUUGAGUGGACUGUAGUUAAUAUACUACCCUACAUUUUGACAAUUCAGGAACUCUCUCUGCUAUGUCAGAAAAAAGAAAGGGGAAGAGAAAAAAAUAACCAUGUCUAUGUUGGGAAAAAUAGGAAUUAGGGAAUUGAGAAGAUAAUUCAUUAGUAAGUAGGGCGAAAGUUUUGGCAAAUCUGGUUAUGGGGAAAAAAAAAUACUACUGAACAAUGAGGAAUAUAUUAGAAUACCCCCAUUACCAUCCAGAAAGCAUGCACCUUCCAAAGUCUAAAUCUCUGGCUCAGAAAGUAGAUCACAAAUUCACUAUCAAAACUGCAUGAAAAUGGCCACUCAUAAGAGACUGAAGGCGCCACCAUUACCACAUUUCUAUCUGGCAAAUAUGUCCAAAUCCAAACAAAACUUACAUUGAACUAUGAUGUUAUGUUGGAGGGUAGAAUCAGAAUGUGGAUUUAUUGUCAUUUUUGCAAGAAAGAAAUAUUACUGAAGAGGGCGAAGCGCCAGAGACCCAAAGCAGCUCUUUGAAUAUUGUUGUUUAGCAUUUAUGUGAUUUGGAAAAACAUAUUAACUCAUAUCAUCAUCAUAGGUGUUAAACCAAACCUGGAAAAGGACCCGGACAAAGGGACCAUUUGAAAUGGACGGUAGGUAGAUGAAUCAGCUAGUGGGUUAAUAGAAUAAUAUUUGCAAUUUCAUAAUAAUAAUUUUAGUGCACAUAAAAUUUUUUAAAUAAAGUACUUUUAAAUAAUAAUUAAUGUACUUUGAAAGAUAUAUUCUAAACCUAUGAUAAAAAGAUUUAAUUGCAUUUUAUUGUUCUUUCACAUAAUAGACUAUGUAAUCAGAGAUAAAACAAAUUUAUUUUUGUUUAGUUUCAAGGAAUUAGCAGCAUGAAGGAACAUUUAGUUAUUAAAAAAAGAAAAAUGCAAACAAAUUAAUCUAAAGGAACAUUUAGUUGUUAAAAAAAAAAAGAAUUAACCUAGUAAUAAUAUAUAAAGGAUCAACCGAAAUAAUUGGUCGGCUGUCCUAAUUGAAAAAGUAGGCGUGAUUGGGUCAAAUCCUUAUUUGAUCAAAUUAGGAAUCCGGCCUUAUUUAGUGGCUUGCUCAUUGGGUUGUAUGGUUCAAUUGUCGGACUAGAUCGAGGUGAACUUAAUAACUAUGCAUAUAAUUGUUAGAUAGGAGUAACAUUUUUCUAAUGCCAAAUUUGUCAAAACUAUUACCUUGUUAUAAAUUUUCAUUCUCCUCAUCAUCUUAUACUUAAUUUUCCCUUGGGGUUUGAAAGUUCAAAAUAGGAAAAAAUGGUUAAAAGAUGAAAAAUGAUUAACGUGUUGGAGUGAGGCAGAUGGGACUCGAACGAGGUCAUGUUGGCGGAUAAUUUUUCUUUUUCGAAGACGACAACUGUAAUAUAUUUUAAUUUAUCCUACACUAGGGAAGGGGGUGGACCUAAGGAAGUCUAGGGAUAACUCGGAGGGGACUGAACCACUACCAGACCAAACGGGUGCAUUGCGCACACGCCUGAAUUUUUUGAAGCAAAUCCACAUUAUAAUGUAGCAAUUGGUGGUGCCUCCCACUCAACCAAGCCUUAAAAGCUUGAUGGUGGCCACCAGCUCAAAGGCUGGUGGUUAUGUUGGCGGAUAAUCAACAAACUAACGGAAUGUUUUCAGGUUAUAAAACAAAACUGGAAUUAUUAAAUGACACCAGAAUGAUACAUCCUUCUCUCUCUUUCUCUCUCUCUCAAAUGCUUCUCUAAAUUGGAGCUCACCAUUUUGCCACACUGCAACAGAAAAGUUUUGUCAGGGUAAAUUCUACUUUGUCUCUUCAAAUUAUAGGCAGAAUCUCACUUCAAUUCCUAAAUUUUAAAAUGAAAUAUAUAAAUCUUAAACUAUAAAUCCACCCCACUGUAUUCCAAUUUUUUAUGGAAUGCACAAAAUCUAAUGAAAUAGUUCCCAAUUCUGUUAGUUGUUAUUAUAAUUAAAAGUUAACCAAAUCCAACAGGGACAUAAACAUAAUUUCAUAAAAUCCAAAACUUUUGUGACACUUUUUAUUUUUUCCAUUUCCUUUUCCCUUCUCUUUCCAAGCCGUUUUCUUUUGCUGCAAACUCUUCACCAUUCUCACCACUGCCUCUCUCCUCUUCCCCCGCCACCCUUCCUCCCUCCCUCCAUUCCUCUCUCUUCUCCUACCUUCUCACUCCCACUCACUCUCUUCCUUCCUUCCAAGAAAGAGGGGGAGGAGGGAGAGAGGGUGGCAGGGAUUAGAGGAGGGUGGUAGGGAUGGUGGUGGAGAAGGCAAUAUUCAUGGGUUUUCAUUUUCGCAAAAGGAGGGGAUGGUGAAGAUAUCACUAUUAUUGAGGGGUGAGCAAAAUUAUCCGCAAACUUGAAAAUUCGACAUAUUCGAUUCGAUCCGAUUCAAAAAUUAGUACACCCGAUCUGUAUUAUUUGAUCGGGUCAAUAGAGGGUUGGGUACCCGUUAAAAUAUGGGGCAAGUUAGGGUCACACAAUUAAAAACCCACGAGCACUAUAAAUUCCCGCCCCACAUAUAUAUAUAUUUAUUUUUAUACUCAUACUAUAAAAUAAUAUUUUUAAAACUAAAUAAGCAAUUUCAUUGAACAAAUUAUAUUACAAAUAUAAGAGACUAUAGUUUAUUUAUAAAACUCAUUUGUAAAGGUCAUGAUCUUAUGCUUUAUAGAAAAGAAUUUAACUAAUGUAGAACAUAUAUUUUAAAAAAUGUGUUACUUAUUUUUAAACUUUUAUUGAUAUUGAAUUCUUUUUAAAUUUUUUUGUAUUCUAUUUGCACGUUUGUUUCUUAGUAGGGGAAUUUUUUGAGAAAAAAAUCUUUAUUAAAUUUUUUAUGAAUCUGUAAAAUGUAAAAUUAAAUUAGUAUAAAUUAUUUUUUUAAAUAAUAAGUAGGACAUGACGGAUAUCCGCUGAUCCGAUCCUAUUUUAACGGGUAUCCUAUAACGGGGUACCUGCUAAUAUGUGAGGUGGAUAAGAGACAAAAAAUAGUUUACUCGCAAGGUGCGGGUUGGAUCAGUACAAUGAUAGACGGGACCGUACCCGAACCAUACAGACCCUACUGCUAUCUAGUGUUCAAAGAAAUGGGAGAGGCAACGUCGGAGGAUACCGUCCCAAACUUUAAGGCCUGCCUAAUCCCCGACCCCGUCUGCACUUUCUCAGGUGAUCAAUUUUAUCAUCAAGGAUAAAGAUGUUGGUCAGAGAGCUCGCCUGCAUCUACACUUCUUGGAUUCUUUACGACGAUGGCAUCCCUGUCACUGCAGAGAAGAUUGCUACAUUGGUGAAGGCUGCGAAUUUGAUCGUGGAAUCCUACUGGCCUAGUCUCUUUGCCAAGCUUUGCAAGAAGAGGAACAUCGAAGAUCUUAUCGUCAAUGUUGGCUGUGGCGGUGGCGCUGCCGCUCCUGUCGGCGGUGAUGGUGCUACCCCUGCCGCCGCUGAGAAGAAGAAGGAGGCGGCCAAGGAAGAGAGUGAUGAAGACAUGGGAUUCAACUUUGUUUGAUUAGGUGUUUCUCAAGCUUAUUCUCUUAGAAAAUAAUUAGGAUCAACCAAUUGGUAGUUUUUUGGUAUACUUUUGUGUUAUUUAAAGAAGUGGAUCAAAGAAGAUAUUUCGCAAAAGAGUAAUCUUCGUGGGCUUGAAUUAUCAUCAGUACAGAAUAUGCAUAUCAGCUUCUUGUGUCGAACCAAUUUCCUGCUGGUGAAAUUAGUCGUUAUGCAACAUUUACAUAUGAGUUUGAGUUACCCGAGCGAAAUCAGUGGUUUUUUUUCUGGCGAAAUCAGUGAUUUUUUUACUUUUAUAACUUGAAGGUAUUGAUACGGGUUGCUUUUUUAUUAUUAAAAAACUCUGCUAAAAACAAAGCAAGAUAGAACGAGAAGACAUUGAAAAUAAAAAAGGAAAGAAUAAUCAUAAGAAUAAAUAAAAAAAAGGAAAAAAAUUUACUAUAAAGGGAUAAAAAGGGAAAGGAAAAUUAAAAAAAGGAAAAAAUUAACCAAAAAUGGGUUUUUUGUUAGGUGUAAAAUUUUUUAUUUGAAUCGCAUAAAAUUACAUUUAUGUCCCUAUUAGGGUUGGCUAACUUUAAUUAUAAUAAGAACUAAAACAACUAUUUUGUUAUGUUUUAUGCAUUCUGUCAAAAACUACAGUAAAGUAUGAUGGAUUUUGUAGUUUAAGGAUUUAAGUGUUUCAUUUUGAAGUUUAAGAAUUAAAGUGAAAUUUGGCAUAUAGUUUGAGGGGGACAAACUAAAAGGUACUUUUUUUGUUAAAAAAAAAAUAAAAGGUAUCUUUUUGAGUUUUGAGCAAGAAAGAAAAGGUUAAGUCCUACUCUAUUUGGUUUAUAGCCUAGAUUGGUUAAGUCCUACUCUAUUUGGUUAAUGUUUGGAUUGCCGUUUUUCGUCGGAAAAUUACGUCGUUUUCCGUGAUCACAUUUUCCUAUUACCUUUUUCCCUCACAUACAUCAAAUCGUUACAGUAAUUUUUUCAUGAAAAAUCAUGAAAAAUGCAAUCCAAACAUUCCGCCAUCAAAUAUUUCAUUCUUCCUUCUAGUAAUACGUGUGUGGUGCAAUUCAGGUAAAGAUUUGUUGUCUAUACUACACUCUUUCUUUCAAAAUUUGGGGUUGGACAAUUUCCAAUUACUCAAAAAUUACUGAAGGCCAUGCAUCUACUGCACUAUUCCUAUUUCCUAAGCUGAAAAAUGCAGCAAAAAUUUACGUUUUUUUUUUUGUAAAAAAUUCCUUAAAAAAAAGUAAAACCAAAUAAAAUGACUCUUUGCCCAUGCGGACUAUAUUGCCCUAUGUUUUCAAGGUCAAAGGCUGGAGAUGUUUGUUCCCUUUUGGUUUUUUUCCACUGCCACUAGUUUGGUGAGGGAUAUUUCAUUAAAAAAAUUUCUAUAUUUUUUAUGAUUAUAUUUUUUAAUUAUCUUAAUAUUCUAUAUAUAUUAAAAUACUACGAUACAUUUCCUAUAAAAAUUUCAAAAAAUUGCAAUCCAAACCAGUGUUGUCAAAAUCGCGAUCCGGAUCGUAGGAUUGUACGAUCCUACGAUUCGGAUAACCAAAAUCAAUCCGAAUCGUAUUCAGAGUCGCAAAUUGUAUUAAUCUACAUAGAAUCGCGUAGGAUCGUAAUAGGAUCGGUAGGAUCGUGUAGGAUCGUACGAUCCUACAAUUUUUUGCAAAUUUGUGAAAUACGAGACUCCAUUUUGCAAGUAAAUGAAAACAUUUGUGGUAGGUUUGUGAUUUAUCAAAGAAUUGCAGCUUUUAAUUGUAAUUUUUUAACAAUUUUUGCCUCAAAAAGUCAAAAAAGCUCUUAUUCUUCUCCUCUACUCAGUUAUCUGUGUUGACUCGUUUCUUCAUUUUUCAUUUCAACCUUCAUUUUUCAGUUUUCACUUAUUCUCCACCGCUGCAGCUCCAACCAACAAGACGAUAUCGCUGUGGGUUCUACCAAAUACCAAGUACCAACAUCUGAACAACGGGAAAAUUUUGAUUCAGAUUCUACACAGGUUUGGACUUACUAUUCUGGCUUUGAAUGUCCUAAUUUGACACUGUUUUCUUUGUUCUUCUUUUUUUUGUUUUUGUUUUUGGAUCUUUUCAAUUGUCCGAUUGGAUCUUUUCAGUUUCAACAACAUGAUUUUGAUUUGCCUACCUCUUUAUAACGUUGAUUUGUCUAAAUGUCAUCAAGUGAAAGUUGCAAUUAAAACACAAAGUGCUUCAGCUCACAUAGAUUAUGUUUGCUUACUAUUGAUUGCAAUAGCUAAGCACAUUCCUUCAGCUGAAAAGUAUUGGGUGUCACCCGAACUUAUGAUUUUCUGGCCUUUAUUUUUGUUCUUAAGCUAGAAAGGUGCAUUAAUUGCCCAGAUAUUCUUAUUUAGACCAGAAAAAUGGGUUGCCGUGGACGUAUGCUUUUGAACUUUUUGUUAACAAGUUUGAAAAAUCUAAUUUUUUCUAAAUUUUCAGCACAAAUCAACAUUUAGCCUGACUUUUCUCAUAGUAUUACUUUGCAAUGGCUAUAAUUGUGAAAAGAAAAAUGCUAUAUAUUUAUUAUUUAUCAGGCAGUAAGUAAAAAAUGCUAUAUAUUUAUGAAUAACUUAUUUAUUUGAUAUCUUUUAGAAUGUACAAAAUGGUAUAUGAAUCUGAAAUUCAUUAAUUUAGUAAAUUUAAAAGCUUUUGGUGGGAUCUUACAAUCCUACGAUCCGAUUCUGUAAAACUAAAAUCGAUCCUACGUAGGAUCCCGAUUUUACAAACCUUGAUCCAAACAAGACUAAGGUUGGUUUUCCAUCAUCUUAUUUAUCUUUCUAUUCUCCACCCCUUCUCCCUUUUUGGGUAUUUAAAAAAGCAAGAAAAGAUGAAAAUAAAAACUUCCUCGUCUCUCGUUUAAGAGAAAGAAAGAGAGAAGCUUCUUAUUAACUCUACAAGUCGGCCCAGACGCGACUAAAGGUUGGACAGAUUGUGAUAGUAGUUCAGCCAUAAGCUAGGGAGAUUUUUCAGUCCCUGUAAGUUUGUUAAUUUCUUCACAUAUUUUUAGCAAUUUAUACCUUGCAAGGUUUUCUUAUUGGCGGGGGCGAAAUAGUUUAAGCCUUUAUGUUUAUGUACAGCUCUACUUAUUUGUCUAUUUUUUUCUUCAGCUCUACUUAUUUUCUUCAAACUUACUAAUUUGGGUGAAUUUGGGAGAUGUAAUAAUUGAAGCAGCUUUUUAGUUGUUCUCUUCUUGCAAGCCAUCUAGUUAAAAACUGAAAAAGAUUGGAACUUUGUUUUGAUUUCAAGAAUUUUAAGAAUUUCCAACCAAAUGCCGCCUGUAUUUCAGCUUUCUUUAUCAGGGUUCCUGUGGUAUCUUAAUUGAAAGUGCUUCUAGAUUUUACAUUUAAAUUUCUUUUACCUUUUCUAUUUGUUUUUUUUUUUUUUUUGGGGGGGUGGGGGUGGGGAGGGAAUUAGAAAGAUAAAAAAGAUUCGUAUAUUAUUCUUUAUUCUGUUUGCGGAAUUUGUAAUGCUGAAUUAACUGAGUGUAUAUCCUAGCAACAAGAUCAUGUUGCCAAGCAUUUGGAUUGAGUUAGGCAGCUGCCCUUUAAAUUGGAGAUAGCUGGCGAGUUCUUGAAUUUUCAUCUGAUUGAGUUCUGUGUUAGUUAAGCAAAAACCCAUCCUUUUUUUUGCUUUUUUCCUUCCUUUUUAAACAAAAUAGAUUCUGAAUUUUGUGAAUGUUCACCACGGGUUAAGCAGCCAAUGGAAUGGGUGUUUAGUGUGAGAAUCUCUGAUGUCAGCGUCAAUGAUUGAAGUUUAUUGUUUGAGAAAGAUAGUGUGGUGGUUUUGUCUACUUGAAUUGCAUGUAGAAUGACACUCUCUUCUUCGUUGUUCACCAAAAGAUCCAUCAUUGUUUAUUUCUUAAUCUACUUGGAUUAGCUACUUUAUUUGCUUGUUUUAUGAAUUCACAGAAUUUAUCAUGUAUUGAUAGUUUAUAAGAGCUAAUAAAAUGGAAGAGAAAAUAAGCACUGGCUGUGAUAACCACAAGGAUACCAUUUCUCAGCCCCUCUCACUUACGCAAUAAGCAUAAUGGAGCAAAAUGGUGAUUCAUUAGCAGUAUAAAGCAGCCUAGCUUAACAUCUUCUCUAUUAGUGGUUUGCAGGAUAAGAAAAAUUUCCCUGUGGUGGGUUGUCCCUGAUAGGAAUGAGCAAAGUGCGUUGAAAUCACGCCUGAGAUUGCCUGGAGUAAACUUGAAAAAUGAGAAAGAAUGUAAGGAAAAGUUCUUUUUUUUUUUUACCUUCUAAUUUGUAGAGUACCAUGGUUGUUAACUGUUUUAUUUGGCAGAGAAGUACUGUUGCUUUUUCCUCAUCUUCAUAUGUAGUGACUAGAAAUCUGUAAUGCUAUGAAACUAAAAUAGUUUAAUAAGGAUAGGGCAUUAUUUGAAAUAUUAUUUGGAAUAAUUACUGUAGCACUUUUUGUGAUGUGAUGUAUGUGAGAUAAAAAGGUGGUUGGGAAUAUAAAAAGGUGGGUUGAAAAAUGUGUUUAUGAUGCAAGCGAAAUAUUAUUUGAGAUAAUAGUGCUAUCCAAACACUCCCAUUUAUUACAACAGAGUUGAAAAUCCCAUCUUAGUCUUUUUUAGCACAUAAGAAAGGAUUGCAUGUUGCAGUUGGGCAGGAGGUUGGAGGGUACAGGAAAGGGAAGGAGAAACCUAUGAAGAAAAGGAAAUCCAAUCAUAUGUGGGUCAUGCUCAAACUUAGACAGUCUUAUAUGUCUUGAGGUCCUCAACUAGGGGGUAACUGACAGUCUAGUUAGAUGGCUAAAUGAAGGCAAGAAUCUUUUUCCUUGUUCUGGAGCUGGGGAGGGUGGGUGUGUUCUGCGAACUACAGACUUGUUUUGGGGAUGGUGCAUGGGUGGGUUUCUGGGAAGAGGGUGUGGAGAUGAGCAUAGAAAAAGUAAACUGUUCAUGAAAACUUACAUGUUGAUUCUUAACUAUAUAUGGACCAAUUUUUCCUUUCAACCAUUUAGCUCCACCUACAUCCAGCCUGCUUAUUCAUUUUUUUUUUUUUUACUGUUACACCUUGCCAGUCUUUUAACUCAGAUAAUUUAUUGUUUUCUUAAUUUCCUUUUUAUUUGUCUGUAUUGUAGAAUUUUCUACAAGACGAGGAUAAUCACUUGGAGAUGACUCGGGCUAGAUGUAAAUGUUUUACAUUGAAUUUUCUUUCUUUAUUUUUUUUUCUUUUGCGUCUUACUGUCUUAGUAGUAGUUUGUUUGACAUAGUUCUGAAAUUGGAAUGCAUUUUUCUUCUUGGAGUCUCAAAUGUGCUUAAAAGGCAUGGAGAAUUAGCAGAACGCCUGUCUAGGUAAUGUUUUUGGAGUUUAUCAUUUUUUUUUACUAUUCAGUAUUUUUUUCCAAGUUGUAACUGUACGUCUCUUUUUGAGCUUUUUGUUUGAAUUCAUCCUUAUUCAUAAGAAAAAUAAUUAGCUUCAAGCUGGGAAUCAGAAGAUAGAAUUUUCUCCUAUCUUACUAAAUGUGCUUUAUAUUUGAAGAGAGAAGCAGUAUUAUAGGUGUUGUUUACUGGUCGUUCUACUACUGGAAGGUUGGGAUAAAUUUAUAUACUUAUAUCAUAAUUAAGAAAAACAUUAUGUGCUAAUUAACAUAUCUUGAUGUAUAAAAAUCUCCAUGCAAGGUAGACAUCUUCAGUCCUAGAAACUUAGGCUUAAAAAAUUUUGGUAGAUAGGAUAUUGCUAGAAUUCUUUGCCUUUUGAUAUAUAUAUAUAUAUAUUUCAGCUGUCCAUAUGCAAUUCUGCACGUAUACUACGUUAGUUGACUUAAAUCUAAUAGAGAAUGAUGAUUAAAGGUUGUAGACACAACUUAAAAUGCCCAGCCUCAUAAGCCUUGUGCUUAAUGACCUGGAAGCAAAUAGCCUGCUGCUCUGAAUUGAGGUCCUUUCCUUGAAAUUGUUUGCAUUUUACCGCAUACAGAAAGGGCAGCUUUCUCCUAGAUUCUGAUUAAUUCUGGACUAGUCCAGCAGCUGUUUGUACUUGCGGUUCCAACGUGUUAUCUUGGGGGGUCAAUGUUUUGAGUGGUACGAUGAUUCUUACUCCUCAUGUUAUGAUGACUGUCUCACGCAAAACAUAGCUUGGGGAGUUUUCACUAGGAGUAAUUCUGUCCAAGACAUUAACAUCAUUCCCUUAAAGUCAAACUUGAUUUGAGAAUAUGAUUACCAGCGUCAAUGGCUCUGAUAUCACUAUCAAAAGCUUCAGUUUGAAUUGAAAUUUUUGGUUUACAAACCCAAGAGCACUUGGAUGCUAACAGUAUCUGAAGUGAGUAAAAUGAUGGAAAAUAUGGAAGUAUCAGAAUUUGAUCAAGGAAUUUAUUUCAUUUUAAGUUUUUCUCUGCAUCUUGAUAUCGUUUCCAUGCAAUACAUCACAUUUGGUCUUUAAGUUACAUGAAGGAAUAAAAUCUGAUAAACAAAGCUUAAGAAUGGAAAUAUGAAGCCAUUGGAAAAAGCAAUCGCCAAACCAUACAAUGCGCUCGGAAAAAAAAAGUCAAAGGUUAAAUGGGAAGUGGCUUUCAAACGUUUGCACAUGCAUACAGUGUCAUGUUGCUAGUAGGUUUUAAAUGUUACUAUCAUACUUCUGAAAGAUAGACGUGCUUUAAUAACAUUUGUUAUAAUUGUUCUGGAAAAGUUUCUUAGAGGUGACAUUGAAGUGGGCUGAGAUACGAGGGAAUAUUAUGGUUACUGCAGUCCCUGGCUAGAACUUAUCGACUGUUAAAAUUUUUUAGGGCAGAAUUAGUUACACAUGCAGUAGUUGUUUUCUUGUCUGAUUACUGUUUGCAGUCCCUGGCUAGAAUCAAAGUCUACACGUAGCCCAAGCUACUUGUAAAUUGCUAUAUUGGAAAGUAAAAUUGUCAACCCUUCUGUUAUAUCAGGGACUCUGAUAAGAUGAUAUUUGAGCGUUUGCAGAGAGAAUUUGAAGCUGCUAUUGCUUCUCAAACUCAAGGUAUGUUUGCAUGUAACCCUUGAUAUAGCUGAAGUUGGUGAUAUUUUUUUUGGUACUUCAAAGAAACUGCUAAUAGUGCUUUUAACUUCUACAUUUAUAUCUAAUAAUUAUAAGAUUUGCACUUGCUUUACUAGUGUCAUUAUCUGUUACAUGACAAAUUUGGGAUUGUUGAUAGUAUCUAUCUUGACUUUUCUCCUCUUCUCAGUAAAUCGCAUUAACUGUUAGGUUAUCACAUGUUCCAUAUUUUGACGAUUGAGGCUCUGUUUGGUUGUGCAUAAAAUACUUUUUUGGAAAAUGUGUCCAUCCUUUUCCUCCUUUUCUGUAUAGCCUCUGUUCUUCAAUUUGUCCCUCCACCAGCUUCAAAACUUUUAUGAGGAUGGAUAUUUUUCUUGUAAGUUCUAUAUUAUACAUUCCUUUUUCAAGAAGCUUUUUACUAUGCAGAAAUUUCUUUAGAUGGUGAGCAGUGGAAUGAUGGAUUAUUGGCUACAAUAAGGGAGCGGGUAUGCUGUUUCAAAUUCCACAUGACUUGUAACCUUGGGCUUUUCUUGGGCAGUGGUGAUAUAACUGUUCUGUUUGAAAUAUUAUAUCUUUUCUUUACAACCCUGUGCUUAAUAUUCUUCUAUUAUGAAGCCAUCAGCUAGUGCUUUUAUCUUUUAGUUAAAGAAGGAGAUAGAUAUAAAUUGAGAAUUUCAUGGUUUAGUGCUUUUUUUUUGGUAUAUUUAAUUUUCAACAUUAAUAAAGUGCUAUUCCUGAAAUCAAAGCUCUUUCAAGUACUUCUAGUAGAAUUCUUCUGCUUGCAAACAGACUCACUGCCUAGUAGUUGAAAGGAUGUCUGCUUAACAUGACUAGUGCUAAAUGUAGUAAAGUGGCAAAUUUUGCUGGUUCUAGCUAAUAAUCUGCUGUAUAACUUGCUUUUCCUGUUUGGGGUAGAUACCCUGUCAUCUUGUUUUCAGCUUUCAUACUGCAUGUUAUAUUGAUUGAUACUCACGUGAAGAGGUCCUAAAUUGCAUCAGGUUCAUAUGGAGGCUGAAAGAAAGGCAAUGCAAUUGCCAGGGGAUACAAGCAUGUUGCAUGGUCUUCCUUUUCAUGAUAAAAUCACUUACAAAGUUGCAAACAAGGUAUAUUCUGGCCAGUGAAUAUGUAUACUCAAGCUGGUAAUUUACUUAAAUAAUUUCAAUUUAGAUGUUUAAGAGUAUUGAAAUAUAACUUGGGCGCGUUGUUGCUUAUGACCUACAUAACAGCACUAGAAAGAAGAAGUAUUGUAAAGUUAUCUAUCUUUUUCAGUUGUAGUUUUGCAGGUAUUUAUCUGCGAUCCCUUUGUAGAACUUUGUCGCACUUUGUGCACUGGAUUAGGACUCUAUUCCCUGUAUACAUUUGCCUCUCACAUAGUUUUCUUGUUCAAGUAGAUGUGUAAGAAUAUCUUUGUAUUCAUACAUAUUCUGAUCCCCAAAACCUUUUUGUAAAAUUAAGCAUUCAAGAGCGAACAAUAUUUGGGCUUUUUACUUAAAAGACUAAUGAGCCAUUGAUGCAAAUUGUUCAAAUCUAUAAUUUCUCAUAGUUUUACAGAAUUGUGCCAUAUUUUGUUUAUUGAGCAGAUUAUCUGUUGUUUGGAAGGAGCAAGGAUCGGCAUACAGUAUGAGACAACAUUUGCAGGUAAAUUUGGAAAUUCAUCACUGAACAUUGGUGUCAGAAACAUGUAUUCUGUUCCAUGAUUAUAUAUGUAGCUGUUUUGUCUUGUGUUGCGAUACAUUGUUGAGGAAAUGAUCGUACUUGACUAUGUUGAUAUUUGUUGCCAUCUAUGUGUAGUUUCUUGUCUGCAGAUGAAAUCAUUUUUGGGGAAAAUGGAAGCCACAUAAAGUGCAUUUAGGUUGAUUGAAUAACAAAGAGAUAACGAAUUGAGCACUGGAAAAAACAAUUGCAGCUAUGAUUUAUUGUAGCUUUAGAAAAUUUUCCGUAGUCUUUAAGGUGUCUAUUUGUAUCUUGAAGCAGAAUGGAUGUCUCUGACUAGGGUGAUGUGGUUUUUUAUUGUUGUGAAGGAUCUCUUAUACAUUGCCGUUUUAGAUUUGGUGCCAUUUUGUAUGUUGUAUAUUGGAACUUUUAGCUUUGCUUUUCAUUCUCUUUGAUUUUAAACUAGGUUGUCAAUAUAUCACGUAGUUCUCCAAAUAGCAAUUAAGUAAAAAGCAAUGCAUCUGGUUUUGCAAUAUUGCAGGAGAACCCUGUGAAUUGUUCCACUGUGUGCUUGAAAGCAAGUCAUUUCUUGAAAAGAUGACUGUCCUUGAGCAUACAGUACCUUUUUUCCUACCAAUACGUGAAGCUGAAAAUGAGUUUCUCUCUUCAAAUGCGAUGGUGAUAUUUAUAGCUUUUGAUUUUUCACAUUAAUAUUUCCUGUCUGAUUUUGUUUUAAUGUAGCUUUCUGCAUUUUACCUCCAGAAAUUCAUAGAUCAUGUAGGAGAUCUAUUGCAGGCCUAUGUUGAUAGGCGUGAACAGGUAUGAUGCGUAACAGAAGAAAGUUUGUGGAAUGUUGGUCUUGAUGUUUAGAUAGUCACAGAUAUUGGAUAAUGCUACAAGAAUUUUGCAGAAUUCUCUCUAAAUUGGAGUUUCUGACUCAUACUUGGAUCAAGCAUGUACGUAGUUUAAGUUGCUAUUUGGUUCAGACAUACCAUGGCUCUGUGAAGCCUACAUAAGACAUGCUCAAGUAGCUAUAUUUGUUUCAUUACCUGUCCCUGAAAAAGAACCCCAUCUCUGUCUAUGCUUGUUCCAAAUUUACUUAAUUAGAUUCAAGAUUAUUUUAAUCCCACUUUUCCUAUUAGUAUUGAACUGGGCACCAGAACAUAUUUCGAAAGUCAAAGGACAAUCUUGCAAAUUUAUUAUUCUCCUGCAAAUUUUGAGCAUGUGAAAUUCUUAACCUUUAAAAGUUAGAUUUGUACGAAAGUCCUUUUCAUGAUGGAGAGAUAAUAUUUAGGCGCAUGGUUGUGCAACAAUGACAGUUCUAUAGAAGUCUGAUUACUUGAUAUUUACCACCUAUUGUCUGUUUGGAUGGUUGGAAUGCUGCCACGUAUUUCAGUGAUAUUAAAUGGAAAUUUCCUGAAUUUAACAUGUUAUUAUCUUCCCAUUUCUUGUGAUACAUUUUUGAAAUCAGUUUGGUCUAUUUCCAGCUCCCUUUUCUUGUGGUUUUCAGGUUCGCCUUAUCAAGGAAUUAUACGGAAAUCAAAUCAAAGAACUUUACCAUAGUCUUCCGUACCACAUGGUUGAAUUUUUGCUUGACGAUUAUGAUUGGUAGGUGGAUUCAGCUUUCUGCCUAUGAUUUUGGUUUUGUUUUGUAAUGAUGAUUAAAAAAAAAAGGCUGGUCAUAGGUGUAAUGGCAAAAUAAUUGUUUAUUAGUAGUUUAAACAGAUAAUUUGUUGAAUGCAUAAAUAACUGCAAAAACGUGGUCUUUUUCUGCAGUAAGGUGACGGUAAGUCUUAGAUAUGCAGAUCUUGUCUCUAUACUUCCAACUGGAGUCAGUGUCCUGGCAUGGCCAAUGCACAGGAAUUUCAUGAACAAGAAGGGAGGCGGACCAUUAGGGAGUAAAACCAUUCCAGAAAGGCUGUCUUAUGCAGAGGAUGCUUUACGAACCAUGAGUUUACCUGAAGGUAUUAAGUCAAUAGAGAUUUAGCCAUAUUGUAUAAUUUGCAUUAGUGAUGCAUUGAGAGGCUUUUCUUUCGAUUUUAUUCAGAGAAGGAACUUUCCUUCUUCAACAUUGCAUGGGUAUCAUUGUUGUAAAAUCUUUGGUUUUCGGUUCUCACCUGUCAUUGAUCAUCAUCAAACAAUUGUCCUAUGCUUAAUUCUUCUUUUAAUGGUUUAUAUGGUUUUUUUUUUUUUUUUUUCCACAAAGCUUGAAUGGUGGAAAGAAAGACAUGAAAUUGCUAUUUUGGAUGUGAAAAGUAUGUUCAAGAUGCACAGCCUGGAAAAAGGGAUACAUCUACUUUUGCACAUAUAAUUGAAAAUUAAAAUGCUUUGCGAACCAAAACCAUUUAUAGUGUCCUAACCUGAACAAUAAAAUGUAUCACAGAAAUUGAAAUAUAACCAGUUUCAAUGUAUGCUUAGUCCAUGUUAUUCCUGCUCAGUGGCGCACAGUGAUAAUUAGCUUACAUGAAUUGAGCCCAUAAUUUGGAUUCCCAGUUAAAUAUCUCCCAUCUCACUUGUUAGCCAGCUGCAUACUCUAGUGUUAAUCAGGUUGAAAAUCUACAGUUACUGUUUUUCUUAUGUAUCCUGAGCGCCAUGAGCAGUCCUCUGUAGAUUUCGUCGACAUAUACUUUUUAACGACAGAUUCCAGUUGGAAAACUGAUCUAGAAUUCCUGUAUGAUUGUAGAAUUGUUAUUCCGCGCUCUCGUAGAAGUUCUGGAAUUGCCACUGGUUCUGCUGUAUUAUUUUGAAGAAUAAACUUGGCAUGCUUUAGAAGUAUUAGAUAUGCUUUAGAAGAAAUUGAAAUAUAACCAGUUUCAAUGUAUGCUUAGUCCAUGUUAUUCCUGCUCAGUGGCGCACAGUGAUAAUUAGCUUACAUGAAUUGAGCCCAUAAUUUGGAUUCCCAGUUAAAUAUCUCCCAUCUCACUUGUUAGCCAGCUGCAUACUCUAGUGUUAAUCAGGUUGAAAAUCUACAGUUACUGUUUUUCUUAUGUAUCCUGAGCGCCAUGAGCAGUCCUCUGUAGAUUUCGUCGACAUAUACUUUUUAACGACAGAUUCCAGUUGGAAAACUGAUCUAGAAUUCCUGUAUGAUUGUAGAAUUGUUAUUCCGCGCUCUCGUAGAAGUUCUGGAAUUGCCACUGGUUCUGCUGUAUUAUUUUGAAGAAUAAACUUGGCAUGCUUUAGAAGUAUUAGAUAUGUAGCUGUUUGUAUACUUAAUUUGCACCAAAAAUUGCUAUUCUUGAUUCACGGGAUUUGUUGCCGACUGGAAACGUGGUUUCGUUUCUGACACGUUCUUGGUUUCUCUGUUAAUCAAGUGCUUUAAUUGAAAUCCUUUGGUUGUGGUGAAGGGAUCUAAGUUGGGGUCCCGUUGAAGCAGACUUAUAUAUAGUUGUGUGUUAAACUGCGUUUCUGGAGGAUUAACAUGCAUGCUAACACGCUGACAUGCUUUCCUUUGCUCCCUUCAGCUUACGCAGAGAUUGUUUUGAACCUCCCUCAUACUCUGCAGGAGAUAUAUCCGCACAAUGCUUCUUCAUAAUCUCUCAACUUCAUCACUGUAGAGAACGCUGAGAAAUGGAGAGAUGGUUUAUGCAGAGACAUUGAUUUGCCAGUCACAGUGCUGCUUGUUCCUGAACGGAGUAUGCAUAGGUGAAUUUUGAUUGUUGCAAGAGGUUGAGUUCUAUCAUUUCUCUUGGUUGUAAUGCUAUAAGCAUCCAGUCUCUAUCCUCCACAUGAAUGAUGAUUUUUUUGGGUUGCUGAUGUUACCGUGCAUAUCCCAUUGAGGAGAAGCUAGUAGGAUAGUAACGGGACCAUAUAUAUAUAUAUAUAUAUAUAUAUUGUGCUUCUGCUUUUAGGUUGACAUCAUGUCUGCUCCACAAAGCUAAAGCAGUAAAAUCCCUGUUAAAGAGGGAGGGGGGAAUCCCUAUGUUUCUGUAUGGAUGGUAAUCAUAGUCUCUAGGAAUUUAACUUUUGUCUUGUUGGGGUCGGCAUUUGGCAAGUAUGAUCAUCAUGUCAUUCCCUGUGGCUUUUCCCAUCCUGUAAAUACAUGUAGGACAGGUGGAGGACUUCUUAGGACGUGGCCCAAUGGAGAUUUUGUCAGCUCAUGUAACGGGCAAACAUAGAAGAAUUUCUCAUGAGCCGUAGGGGCCGUUAUACUGGUAGAGUAUUCUUCACAAUACAGAGGAGGAUCACGGUGGUUGCCGACAAUUGGAAAAACAAUAUGAAUAGCAUCAUAAAAGUAAUCAAAGCAAAUACCACAACGAACGAAAGGGGUGUGCCAUCUCUGGCUGGCCUCGGCCCAUGUCAUGUCAGUGAGUACAUUUGCUUGGAAGCCAUCCGUAAAUGCAUGAAACCACGUAGUGUGUGUACAUGCUCUGACCUUUCUAAAAUAUUAGUUACUUUUUUCUGGUGCUUUUCCUCUUGGUCUUCUGCGUUCCAAAAUCAAAGCUGACAAUGAUUGUUAGCUAACUUUGUGCAUAUGGCAAUUUUCCACUAGCAGAAGAUGCGGACAAAGUCCAUAUCAAAAUCAACUUAACCACCUCAUUAUCUUAUCCGACUGGCAGGAAUUUGCACCAAGAUAAAUGAGUACUCCCCCUGCUCACACUAAAAGAUCCAUCCCCACCAGUAUUGAAGGUAGUUCAGCUGUCUAAAUUCUUCCAUAUUUUGAUCAAUUUAUAGCACAUCUAACGAUCUUCCAAUAAAUCACUUUUUCUGCUUAACUAUUUGACAAUAAUUUUGCUGCACAUCUUCUUCUUUUUUGCAAUGCCAAAAGCCAAAAGCCAAAAGCAAUUCUGAGAUCAAAUCGUGGUGGUCGUGUUCCAAACUGAUACAACUAGGCGAUUCUAGAUGACUCUCGAGCAAUGUCAAACACGGGAGAGGAGAAGUAACUUAGAACCUAGAAUGACUCUUGCUACGGACAUACUAUUUGGCCACCAUUUACAAGUUACAGCACUCUAUUCACAGGCACAGCUACACAACAUAAAAGGGUUUUUAAUGCUAGUGUAUAAGAUUACCAGUACAAAUUUUUAGUCCCAUGAUUCAAAUAAAGAUGGAACGGCCCGGCAAGAAAAUAGUUAAAAAAAUCACACACAAACACGCACACACAUGUUUGCUUUUUUCUGUUUACUUUGCUGCUGUGGCUCUUUAAUGUUCCUUUAAUUUAAAAGACUGAAGAUGGGCAUAUGUGGCUCAGGGGGCCAAAAAAACAUUUAACAGGAAAUUCAAAGUACAGCAAUAAUCAAAUGGCUAAAUGAUUCUUUCAACUUAGAAACCAAAUGCAACUAAUAUUAUUAAUUGUUGGACAAUGGUAUACGCUCAUCAAAACUCUUUGCUAGAACAGACACAGACGAAAUUUGUGUUGAAGUGAUGGUUUGACAACAAAGCGGUAGUCCUACUAUUAAUUUGUUUUUCUUUUUUGAUUUUAUAUUUUUUUUGACAAUGAUAAUAUUUAUAUAAUCCCAUCUUUUCCGUGAAAUUUGCGUUGAAGUGAUGGUUGAGGAGCCAUGUAUGACAACAAAUUUUCAUGUAAAAAGAAAACCUCAAUCCUACUAUUAAUUUAUUUUCUUUUGAUUUUAUACUCUUUUUUUUCGAUAAUGAUAACAUUUAUAUAACCUAUGACGUGAAAUUUGCGUGGAAGUGUCAAAGUGAUGGUUGAGGAGCCAUGUAUGACAACUAAGUUUUAGUCCUACUACUAAUUUGUUUUCUUUUGACUUCGUACUCAUCUUGGACAAUCAACCAUAGCAGCAGGCAGGGCUGACUCAUAUUAUAUAUAGAGAAUUAGAGGCAGGAGUAGGACAGUAGUAUCUGGUUCAAUACAACCACAACCCAAAGCAAGGUGUGAGUUUUUUACUAGGAAUGAGAUUUGGUACACAAUUAUGAGCUAACUACUGAUUAACUAUUCAUUCUCAUUCCAGACAAAUAAAUACUAGCAGUAUUUUUUAUUUUUUUUUGAAGGAAUACUAGCAGUAUUUGAGUCAAACGGGUUAUGUGUUGAAUUAUCUUCAACAUGCAAAAACGGAUGCAUAUUAUUAGUACUAAUAUGCUAAAAAAAAUUGUGAGACAGUUGAAUCGAGCGUUAUAUUAUUAUUAUUAGUACUGGACAAAAAAUUUGAUUAACCCACAACCUGGAGCAUUAAACUAUUGAAUAUGCAAAUGCCUCUAGAAUCCAAUGCACUGCUGUGUCCGACUAAAACACCACUGCUGAUUUAGUCCCUAAACUAUUUUACUAAUUCUCAAAAUAGUCCCUAAACUUUCUUACGAGCCAGUCGAUUAAAAAUAGGAAUUCUGGACACUGCCCUUAUUAAAAAUAGAAAAUGAAUAUUUACCGGAAAUUGAAUCAUAUAGAAAGCAACAAAAAUAGAUCUUCUUAUGAAGAGCAAAAAAAACCGAGCUGGUGCCCUAAAAAAAAUUUCACAUAGAUCAAGCUCAGUCUAUUAAAUGGAGAAAAGGAAAAUAACGCAAUAGGAGUAUGCGAAAAACUGAAAAAAAAUGGGCUAAUAUUAUGAUCACCCUUUUGGGAAUUAAAGCUAAAACAAACUCACUUUCCAUAUAAUCUAAUUUCUUUGCCGAUUUCUCGACAAAUGUAUGCUUUUCUAUUGUUUUAAUAAGAGUUCCGGUUAGAUUGUCGACGCUGAAAGUGAAAGGUGAUAAAUUAAAUUGAUCACCCAAAUAAGAAGGACUAAACUAGUUAUGCAAAUAUACAUGAUGGACUGUUUGGACUUAAGUAAAAUAGUUGAGGGAUUAAAUUGGCUCAUACUUCGAUUUUGUUAAAAUAAUUGAGGGACUAAAACUGACCCAUAAUGAAGUUUAGGGAGUAAAUUGAUGUUUUGCUUGCAGUAUCCCAUGGAUUACAAAAGCGAAUUUCUACUAAAUAAAUUUUUUUAAAAAAUAAAUGAUUUUACAUCUAAGAACCUCUUUUCAAACCCUAAUAGGAUUAAUCAUCAGAAUGACUGUUUAUGAGUAUCAAGUUUUACCCUAUUCUAUUCAUUAUCAUCUCUAGUUGCUUACAGGGUGGAAGUGAUAUUUUUUUCCAAAUAAGCAUAAGAUUUUAGAGAUUUUGUUGAACCACUUAAGUAACAAAUUGUCCUUUAGCGAAGCAUCUUUUUCCCUUCCUUCUAGUAAUUAGAAUUAUAGGCAAAGCAAUAGUUUUCUUUUUUUUUUUUUAAAAAAAAAGCAAUAGUUUAAGCUCAACUGUUGGAAUUGGAAGUUUAGGAAACAAAAUCCAUCAUGUAUGCCAAAAUCCAUAUAGUUGAAAGGUGACUCUAUUGACAAACAAUAAAUACACGACAUGGAGUGAUUAGUGAUAUAGCCUAGGCUUACAGAUGAGGAAUGAAAAGUCAUGAAAGAGCGAGCUAUUCCACCAAUUACUCGAAGAAACAAAAAGAAAUAGGUACCCCACUACUAAUGGUGAAAGGUCCUCCGCAAGGAAGCAUAUAUAGCCAAGAGGAUACGGCAGCUGCAUGCCAUGUUUUCUUUGUACAAGACCCUGGGCUGGCACUCUUCCAAGCCUAAAAAGUGAAAACAGUAGGAUGCACUAGAAAUCACAUCUGAUCUAAAAUCUAAAGAGCAAGCUGUUCUCUUUUCCAUGCGUUCCACAGUCAAAAAAAAAGACUUGUCAUACUUUUUUCUUUCUGCUGUUUUUAACUCCAGAGUACUCUCUCCUCCUCCCAAGUUCUAAAGCCAUUUGCAUAUUUCUUUUGCAAGACCAUCAACCUCUCCGUUCCUCCAUCAUAUCCACAAGUCUCAACCCACACCUUUAAGCCCUGGACGUCCUAACAGGUUGCCAUGGAACCUGAUACCAGUUCCACACCAAAGCUUCCUCUAUUCUCAAUGGCAACCGUGCAAUCACCUGAGCAUUCAGGUAUGCUAACCCCACCUCUAUACACCUCAGCUUCAGUUCCAUUUAGGUGGGAGGAAGAGCCCGGAAAACCUAGACCCUGCACCGCUCUCAUCGCUCUUCCCACCAGCACCACCACAGAGUCCCCCAGGUGCUUAGACCUGCCCCCUAGGCUAUUCUUGGAGCCCAGCAAGAUUACAAAAACACCCUCCCCCACCACAGUGCUGGAGGGCCCUUAUGUGUUGGGCAGGCCUAAGUUCACCUCAUCCUCAUUCAGAUUCUUCAGGGAGCGACAAGGGUCAUUUGACAGUAGUAGCAGUAAGAGUCCCGAGAGAGGUCAACUCAGUAGUAUGGUACUUGGCAAGAAACUGCACAAGGGAAGAGGACUCUUCGGUUCCUGGAGACAAAAGACACCUAAAUUUAGGUCUGGAAAGAGGGAAGCUGGGGGAAGUUGUAGCUUCGUCCAUCCAUCUUCAGUCUCAGUAGAUGGUGCGGACACUGGAAGUGAUGAUGGCAAUAUUCCCAGGGUUAAGAUUGGGAGAAUAAGAAGAAAUGGAAGCUUUUCAAGUCUCUCUCAAGCCAAGUCUCAAUUUUGGGUAAGUUCUCAAUUACCAGCUAGUUAUAAUACUGCGAUUACUACUUUCUAUCAUUUGGAUUGACUGGCUGUGUGGCUAAAUUCACUAACAAAGUUCAUUACUUUUUCGGUGGAAAUCACUCAAAUUUGUUGCUACAACCAAAAAAAAAAAACCCUGACUUUCCUCCCCUUUUUAACAGCAUACGGGCUAUGGAAUGUAUAAACUGUUUAGAUGAAACCCUAAUGAUUAGGCAGUCGAAGAUUUGUUGCCGCAUGCGAUUAAAGUGUCUUUAAUUGCAUUUAACAAAGGGAAAGAAUGCUAGGAGUUGCUAAAUACUAGUAGAAGUACUAGUUGUAUGGCAACUAAAAAGUCCAAGUUCAUUAAAGGGGUAGGUAGGUGGCUUUCUGUCCACAACUACAAUGUUGUACAAUCCAUGAUGGUGGUGAGGGGAGGGUGGGGCUGGCCGCGUAGGUGACGGACGAGUUUAACCUUGGUAUGGUCCUCGAUUUAAUAGGAGCCAUGUCACAGCCCAUCUUACCCUUUAUGCUAAUCCCAGACUUGGAAAUUUCAAUAGUUCGCCCUCUGUGGCCGGUGGGGCUUUAGAAUUAAUCAGCUGGCCUUGGGUGUCUCCGUGUGUGUGUGUUAAAUCAGUUUCGUUGCAAAAUGAAUGGCUUAAUGCCAUCAUCAUGAGAGAUGGUGGGAGUGGGACCUUGUUUUGAUCAGCGCACACACUCCUGAGUGUUGACUGUACCCCUCACAUCAUAUGUCCUGAAACCAAAAUCCGGUGGCUACCGUCUUGACCCAGUCAGUCGAGUCUCUCUAAUUUACUUCGAUCGUCUGUUGCACGGGCUCGUUCGAGGUUUGUCGUCCAGUCCUGUUAAUGUAGUACAAGCGGCCAGGUCUGUCGUCUGUGGCGAGGCGUAUGGAGUGUCCUGGAGGGUGGAGGAUCUGGCCACUGUACGUAAAUUCUCCUUUUCUUGGGUUGCCCGCAAUCUUUUAGUACGCCACGGAAGGAAUUAGUUGCGCCAACAUCGGAACCAUUUGAAUCUCAUUCCGCCAAUAUGUAUAUACGUACGAGAGAUUUAAACCCCUUUGAAUGCCCAAAAAAAAAUCACAUCCUUCUAUCGAUUGAGCAUCUCAAAAAGCCUAGGGAAGAAUCAAUUAAAGGUGGUUGCUAUUCUCCAGAUGAUUUCUUUCUGGUCCCCCAGAGCUAUGACAAAUAUUUCAUUCCCAUUGUUUGUAAUGUUUACCCAAAAUAUAAGCAGAUAUUUACGGUUCAUGAUUCGUACUCCUCCGUCUUUCCUGUAGGCUGCAGUGUACGAGGGCUUUAAGCAAGUGCUUCCGUGGAAGAGCAGAAAAUCAAAGAAAGGAGUUCUGUAGUUUACACCUUGCCUAUGGAUAUCGUGCAAUGUAAAAUUAAUUACUUCUGCAUGCCUAGGGAUAAUCUUGAUGUCGAAGAAGUUCCUCAAUCCGAGGAACGUGUGUUAUUAUGGCUUUGCUGUAGCUCCUACAUGCAGUGCAGUUAUUCCGGACUCCGACGUAUUAAGCGGACACAAACGAAUCAAAUUAUUUAUUUAUUUAUUUAUGUACUACUGCAGAAUCCCACUGCUAGUUUUGCAAGUAAUCAUACAUAACUUCCCGUGAAGGCGAUUCGUGGUUCAGUUUACCCCAUUUUCCUGUCGCUGUUACUGUGAAAGACGCCUUUGCUCAGACCCAGAUUGUUAAAUAUCCGAAAUAAUACGACGCCAGCAGGAGCGUCAAAAAGGCCAAAAAAAAAAAAAUAAUGUUAUGGAAAACUUCAUGCCUACACCAACAGCCAGAUUGUCCUAGACUCGAACUCCCAGCUUAGAUGAAUCACCUCGGAAUCCAAGGGCCUGUUCUAUUCUAUCUUGAAAUCCAAGAUUUGAAGUUCAUCCAAUACCAUUCCGAGAUGCAGAAGAAAGGCAAACGACAAAAAUCAAUUUCAACUUAUCUUUUACCAUCCUGAUCCUGGGUACCACCACUUGAUUCAUGCAAAAGAAUGUUUCCUCCUUUAACUUCAGAAGCAAACCAAACUCUACGCCACAAGAGUCUACUAAAACUAGACCAAUUGUGCUCCUACUCCAAAUAAAACAACCAAGUUUUGCAUGGCGCAGCUUAGAAAUGCCUGGAAAGAUCUAGAUCUCUAUCUUGUAACUACAGACAAAGGAUCGAUUAAUACCUCCCAAGCUUUAUACUAAAUGCAAGAGUUCUACUUUAUGCUGGCCCCUGACAUGCAUAAAAUUGUAUACAUGCCUAAUCCUCUAACCUUGAUGACAGUAACCCUAAAAUAUGGUCACAUUAAGCAACAAAAUUCAUCAAAAUUGCCAAAAAUCAAAGAUAAUAAAGAAUGCAUCAGUAAACAUGACAUGCAGGAUACUAACUAAAGAUUUUGAAAGGACAGAAAGCCAAGGAGACAAGACAGAGCAUGUCCAAGCAACACGCCUAGCUAGUAUGAUCAAGCUCAAUUUCAGUACAAAACAGUUCAUAAUUAGAGACAAAAAUUAAAAAAUUCUGGACCUUAUUAAAGAUUUAUAAUUGCAUUAAGACAUUACAAGAAACCGUUGACAUUAUCCAUCACCCAGACGGACCUUACUUUUUACCAGUCAUACCAGCAACCACCUGCAAAGAAGAAGACCAAACAAACAAAUAAAUAAAUGAGUCCAACUUAAGAGGGUGAGACUAGCAGUCAGUCCGUUUUGUGUAUAAAUCAUUACAUGCUUUUUCUAGGUUUUCAUCAGGGUUUCAAAAUCACUUGAGAGUCAAAGGAAAGUAUGUCUUUCAAAAGAAUCUCAGGGGCCCAGAUUAUUUGAAAAGGGCUUCUUUAGAAGCCCAGAGGGGGCACUAGGAAAACUUCCAAAUUAUUAUGACAGGGGAACACAUCUGCCAAGCCCUCCCAAUUGCCCAAGCUCCAUGUCCACCCGAAACAUAGAGAACCAUGUACGCUGUUUGACCAGUUCAACUGUCUAAAAUGCGAAGGAAGACAAAUGUGAUUAGGAAACUUCACCAACAUUUGAACCUCACAUACUAGUCCAAAAGCAGCUGCGACUAAGUGUACAUCAAACGAAUAGCUAAUUUAGAGGAUAAGUGUUGGCAAAAUAGUUAUAAUAUAAAAGUUUGAAAGUGUUUAAAAACAAAAUCUUCAUGUUCUAGCAACGGGAAUUCAAAGUAAGACCACAUAUACCACGAGGGAAACAAAUAACAUUCAAAGGUGAAAGUAAUCAGACAAUUCAGCAUAUUGAGGGAUAGGUAGUAAGACUCAAACUUUAAUGCUUACAUCACUCAAAACAGGUUGAGGGACCUGCUUCGAUGAUUCAAAGGAGUCUAGUAUAGGCCUCACCACUGCUGGAAGAAAGAGACCUGAGAUUUUUCAGACAUCAAGACAUGUAAGAUCAAGUUGUCUACUCUGUUUACAAAAAGGAGGAAAGUCAAAGAAAAAAGUUCUCCAACCAAGGGGAAGAGGGGAAUGAUGGAGAACUGUUUCAAAUAUCGUGCUUGCUAGAUUCUCCAAGAUCUAUACAUUUGUGGAGGCAUCUUCUGAUUAUUAACAAUCGCACUUAAAGUGAUGCCAAACAAAAUUGCACUAGUUUUGCAUGGAUCAAAAUUUUGAGAUCUUCCACAGAUGAAUGCAAAAAUAUGCUAUUACAAAUCUCCUUUGAAAGCUGAGCUACAGUGGAAAAAGAAAACUGCAAUUUCACAACUAUAGAAUCUCAACAACUGACAACGUUUUUAUAAUUUCAUUCAUAAAAUGAAUAACAAAAAUGUCUUACACUUUGAUCCAAGGUGACAUAAAGGCACCCUUAAGUCAUCUAAUAACAUUCCACAACUCUAAGAUAUAUGCCACAUGAUCAACUAGACCAUAAAUUUAGCAUAAUUCUCAAGCCAAUGAAGAAGAAUCGAAUUGUCGAUUUCACCUCCUUUGAGCUGCUAUAUCACUUGUUAAUAAAGUCACACCUCUCCUCCUUUCCCAGUCCUACUCAUUUUUGUUUUCCACAAAACGGGCACCAGAAAACCUUGAAACGUAUAGUGUUACCAAACUUAAAACUAUCUCAAUACUUUUUCAUGGCUGAAUCUUAUAUUUUUAAAAUGCAAUCAUUCAAAAUCUUUGGCAUAUCUCCCUUUUGAUCAAUCAUUCAAUGUUAUCAAGUUAGAUGAUGAAGAGCACUUUGCCAAGUACCCUAUUGAUGAGACAUAGGCAGAACGCAGCACAAUACAUGAUCUGUUCCCUUCCCACGUCCAAAAUUCACAUAAAUGAAAGUUGAAAAUCAAGCAGGACUCUAUGAGAUUGCAUCAAAACUAGCAGUUUUCUUUUAAAAAUAUUUCAAUAAGUCUGGGUUACUAGCAAUAAUUCCAAGAGUCUAGGUUUCUGAGAGUUUGAACUAUGCAAUUGCAAAGCUGCCUCGCGUUGAAAUGCCUUCCUCCCAUUAUCUGCCUAAGAAAAAUCAAAACUUUUUCAAAAUUAAAAAAAAAUGUCAAAUUGACGUACUUCAUCUCCUAAUUCGCAAGCCCACAGACAGUAAGAAAUAAUAGUAAUCGUGUACUAAAAUAAACAGAUUCAAUUAUCUCAUGGUCUUCAACUUUUAUCAAAUCAAAUCAAAUCACGUAAAUUGAACUAACAUAGUACAGCACCGAGCAAUUAAUGAAUUUGUAGCAUAGAGUCCAGGGAAAUUUUAACUUUCAGAGGGUCAGAAAUUUAAAACAAAAAAAAAUCAGGUCUAGAGAGAGAAGCAAGGCUGAAGAGUAGUAGGAAUAUAGGUAUACCAAUGCCGCCGAUGAGGCAAGAUGCGGCAACGACGGGCUCUUGGACCACGAACAUUUUCAGCUUCUCCAUCACCGGCAUCUUCUUCUGCUGCUGCUUUCUCCUUUCUCCCUCUCUGUUUUCUUGCCUCUGGUCCUUCGGAACUCUUUCCGAUAUUGAUACGAGCCAGACGACAUCAGAGCUUAACUGUUGAUAGUUUGGCGAUGGUGGGCUGAUGUCACUCAAUCCACUAUUUCUUGGGCUGGCCCAAGAUGUUCCACUUCAUUGGCAAAUGCGGCCUUAAAAGGACUCGUGAAUUUAUUAUCCAUGUUGAUUUUUUUAAAUUUUUUUUCAAGUUGUGCUGAGUGAAACCACUCAUAUUCAAGUAAUUGAGCUUGAAUGAAAAUACAAUUUUACUAAUUUUUUACACACUGAUUUUUUACUAGUCAUGCUGCUUUUUUGUUCUGUGAUGCAUAUGAUACAAGGCAUAAGCAGCAUAUGUUGAAAAAUUACAAGAGACAAAUGUUUUGUACUGGCUGCGCUGCUCCCACCAUCAUUAACUAAGUUGAUGAAAAUUUUUUAUUGUUUUCUGAUCGUUAAAAUCGUACAACAUUUAAUUAUGAGUCCAUUUAGACGAUGCGUUCGUGGGUAUUUGUCUAAAAUUUUAUUGUAAUUAUUUUAGAAAAAAUGGGUUAAUGUUUGUCUAAAACUUUUUUGCAGAAAAGGGGGUGCCAAAGUAUUAGGAGUUAGGACAGCGCUUUCAUGCUGUGAGUGCUCAAGAUUUUAACACCCAUCAUCCACUUGCUAGAAUAACUGGAAUUAUAAUGCAAAACAUUCCCUAUAAUGGAAGGAGUAUCAGAGAAAACAUUUGCGAAUGAGGUCUCGUGCAAUGUGCAACUGCUCAAAGUACAACAACAAUGGCAAUAAAAUACCACAGCAUUUAAGGCUCCCUUCUACCUCUUUGUUUUUGCUCCUCCGUUCUCCAAUCUCUCUCCCUUUUUACUCUUUUGAUCCAUGUAAUCAUGGACUGUCCUUUUGUUCAGGAAACGAUCCAGCUUUCAUUUACUCGAGCAUUCCAGAGCAAUAAAGGACACAGAGUGAAGUAGAGACAUGCAGAUAUUAGGUCAGGCAAACGAGCGUUUCCGUGACACUUUCUUAUAGCCCAAAAAACUACUCUCAGGCUCAUUUCUGGCACAUAAUUGAGAAUUAAUCCGUCGAAAGAAGCAGACCUAAAGCAACACAAACAUGACAAGGCAGAAUAUGCUCAUCUAUACAUAUAUACACGGAACAUCCAUCAAUUCACGUGCACAAACUCUGCAAGAGUUCAUCAAAGCUAAAGAUGAGUACCCUAAAUACAUGGAUAGAUACAGCAGGAGGUGAAAUGUCAUGCAAUCAACCCUAGCGUAAACCAAUCAUCACAUUGACUCACCAAGAAGGAAAAAUUGGAUAUACCACACCACCCCGUAUACUCAAAAUGUCGGUAACAUCCACCCAACAGUCCAUCCCAAGAGUAAACCAGCACCAACAAGACUCAAUCCUAAUGCAAAAACUACUGCAUAUCUGCUUAUGUCACUUCUAGGACGUCCCCUCUUGGCCCUUUUUCCCCUGGCGGCUUUCUGCCAAUUCUUCCGCAAUUUUCUGGUCUUCUGAGGCACCCAGGGCAACAUGACAGGAAAAAGAGUUGAAAUUGGCUGGCCUUUGUUGUUUUUAAUCUGAUAGCAGAGAUUCUCUAGUUGCAUAAGUUGAAACCACUGCUUGUAAGCAAAUAGUUGAGAUGCCUGUUUGAAAACAAGCUUGACUACAUGCUCUUUCUCUGCAUAUGCUUGCUUUGCAGCCUUCUCAGCUUCCCUUGCACGUGUUUGAGAAUGGCGCAGAGCUUCCAGUAGUUGAGCCUUACUGGAAUCGCUAUCAGAUGCAAUGCUUCUAAGUAUAGCAUCUUGAUUUGAGCUAUCUCUGUUUCAGGAGAUGCAGUAUCAGCGACUAAUGUGGAAGGAGGACAACUAAAACAGAUACAUGCAUGAGUUUUUAGCUCUCCAAGCCAUCACUUUAACAAUGCACAUAUACAAAAAUGAUACAAUUUCUAACUUUUAAGAGCAAAGGGUCCUUUCAUUUAAUGGUCCCAGGAACCUUCAGUAGUUUCAUCAAUAACCUGCUACCAACAGACAAAGCGUGGCAUAUAUUUAAUGUGCCUAUUGUUUACGUCGACAAUUAGCACAAAAUGAGUUCUAAAUGAGCAUCGACAGAACCAAAAAAAAAAAAAGCACUGCAUCCUAGACUGCUCUACAAAAGACAUCAGCUUCUAAGAGCUAACGCUUUUUAGUCAGUUUCACGGUGAGAUGCACACACAUACCACAGGACUCCCAAGUCAUAUGAAACAACAAGCAAUAAGCACAAUCGUACAAUAGAUCAUUUGAAGCUUAUCUCCAUUAGCACCGUAAACAAAAUCUUACUACAUAUAAAACCCGAGAGGGGUUGUGGUGUUCACAUUUCUGUCAACUUAUUGGAUUAUCUUUUUUGUCUUAUUACAAAGGGUAAACAGUACAACCUUUUACCAACCAAAAAAAAAAAAAAUGUUUAUCAAGAACUACCAACCUAUACUUUACCCACAUCCAUGUUUCCAUUCCAAACAUGUAUGUUCACACUGCUCCAUCCAAAAUAUGUACAUCUAAUCAUUCACCAUACUUCUGCAGUACUCUUAACACUACCACAGAAACUACCGAACAAAAGGAAAUACCAUAUUUGUAACUUCCAAUAACUUCUUGUCAUCCUUUUACUUUCAUCUUCUCUUUUGUUUCUUUUUUCUCAAUCCAAUUAUCUAAAUCAUGCCUAUACCACUAGUUAGAAAUAAUUAUUCAUGGCCCAAAAUUGCAGUUUGAAGAAGUCAGAGCAGCUGUUCUCUACUUUUCUUCUUAUUCACCAUUUGUUGAUGGAAUUUGUGUCUACACGGGUAUCAGAUAUAUCAUGCCCACCAAUACCAUCAUCUUCUCAUAUGGCCCUCACAGCUAAGGUAAUGUAGUCCCCAAUCCUUGUUCAACACCAGCAAGUGAUCACACCCAGUACACUUAAGCAUCACAAAAUAAUUGAAUUAUGCUCAUGCUUAUUUAAAAUACUUAUAUAUGUUUUUUUCCACUCUGUCAACAGAUAGAAGCAUGCACACAGAAAAUAGAUGGAGAUAUAAAAGGUUGAGGGCCAAAUGUCAAUUGAAAAAGAACGUAAACAGGAAGGGUAAACAGAAAGCCAUACAUUGUUGAAGGCCCAAAAAAAAAAAAAAAGACUUCAAGUAAGCAUCAGCCUAUUUAAAUUUGCUGAAUUUUCACACAGUUUCCUUGCAUCUCAGCCUACCCUCAAGACUUGCAUGUAAUAUUGACAAGUUGGACUGCGUUGAUCUAUAUAAAACUUUAAACUAUGGCCAAGUUGGGGAUUGAAAAACUUCUCAAAUGGGCAAAGCAGUUUUAGCCCUCUUAAAACGAUUAUGCACAACUAAGAUUUCUUUAUAACCUUAGUUGACCAUGACAAAAAAUCAACUACUGCACAUCAGAGAAUCAGAAGAAACUGUAGGUAUUACCUUAAUGAUGUAAUAGUAGAACACUGCAAUUGCUCAUCAACUGACAACCGCUGUUUUUGACAAUCACUUUGCGAUGCAAUGCUACUCUGCUUAUGGACAAUUAAAUCAUGAUGACAUCCAGGAUGUUUUGGAUCUAUAGGAGAGAUACAAGCCCUAUCAUGAUCAAAACAGCAUAGAUCAACAAAAGCUUCCCUCUCAACACACGUGUUCUGAGGCUGGGGAAGAUCACAAUUUUCAAUAAGUCCAAAAGAUCCCCGUGAAACCAAUAAAGCCAGUUCAUCUUGGUCAGCUGUGCGCCACCAUGGCCCAAUUUUCUCAUCUCCAAUCCAAGGCGAUUCAGAAUCAGGAAACAGUUCAUUUUUUUUCUUGGAAACUGUACAACCAUAUGUACCUAUCUCUGCUCUUUCAUACAAAUCCCCUACAUCCUCAAGCUUAGGAGAACAUUGGGGAUUCAGCUUAUUCAUAGGUGUCAAGUCCUUGUCUCCGACUUCAGUAUCCUUCUUUAGACCAGUGCUAAGGAUUCUUAAAUCAGAAUCAACAAAAGAUUCAGUCUCUAUCGAGUCAUAAAACAAUGCACUGCCAUCCUCACUUUCUGGCAUUUUAAGGGCUGAGCUUGUACGACCAUGGAAAGUUUCCAUUUCUGAAUCUGUGCAGUUUAAUUGUUCAUCUGUUAAACCCCUUUGAUGCCUAUAAUUUGAUGGAAGCUGCAGCCACCAUUUUGAGUUUGGCGACAAAUUAGAAAAUGAAGUGCUCCGAUUGAAAGGGGGGAAAGCUACACUGGAAAUGUCCUGUGCCUCAGCAGCAUUUGCAGGUCCCACUUCAACCUCUCUGACAAAGGGUGACGCUAGUGGGCAGUAAGCUAAUUUAGGAGCUCGCUUAGCAUCUUCUUGGACCAAGCAGCGAUUAACCGUUCUCUGCCAAGCAGCCCUUGCUUCUGCAACUGCCAUCACUCCCCCAUUCCUCAGUGCAUAUUACCACCUAAAAUAAUACUCUCUCAGAAAAAUGUUAUGCUCUAAGAUAACAAGCUAAAUUGUCAUAAUUAAUGAUUCUUCCACUAAGUGUGUAAUGUACACCCAUGAAACAAAAGCAAGUCUUAUGAUAUUUAUGUGCAUAGAAGAAACCACUAGUAUGUAGAAUAAAUAAAACACAAAAUCAACGUAAUUCAGCACUGAUCUAAACAAUCAUAAAUUAAUUCCUUUCCCUGAUCUCAAACUUAACAGAAAUUUCUAAAUAAGUACAGAUGUAAACCCACCAAACAGCAUUGACAAAUACAGUUACCAACGUUUUCACAUCAUUUGCAAAAGAAGUCUUUGCAGCAUUCAACAACUAAAUUUGAUUGCUCUUCAUCUAAACUUCUUUCUAAUAUUCAUGCCCAACUUCUUAACCAAGAAAGUCAUUACCAAAGAACAAAUUCCACAGAAAUUAUGUCAACAAACCCUCUUAGCAAUAGAGAAGAAAAAUUAAAGCCAAUAUGCAAAAUGAGAAACAGAAAUAAAGUAGUGGAUUAUGCCCUCCAGAUCACCUCAUUAAGGAUACGACAUAAAGAGUGAAUAUUUGUUCUUCCUCCAGGAUUUGAAGGAGGUCAAAAACAUCCACCAUGACAUUUGGAUUAACGAAACCAAAACUGCAGAUCCAAUUAUGACAUCCCUUAUCCCCAAAGGUUUUAACUUUACCCAAGCAACUCUAAUAUGUUGCAAGUCUCAAAAAGCACUUAAAAAGAUUUUACCUUUAUUUUUUUUCCGGUAAGAACUUGAAAAGCUAGUGCACAGAAUGCUAUUAAAGCAACUUCCUAGUCUAUGAAGUUAGCAUCAAAACUACAAACUGAGGUAGAAAACCACAAGCCAAACAGUUUGAAGAACCAUCCAGCAAACAAAACAUGAGAAUCCUUAGAAAAAGGCUGAAAUAGAUGGCCCAAGUGUCCUUUUGUCAGUUCUGCAAGUUAAUCAAAUCUGCGAGAAAUUACAGUUGGAUUAUUUAAAUCUGUAGAGGAAAGCAUACAUGGAGGUGCAUUACUUGUUCAGACAAAAACUUAAAACAAUUGCAAGACCAGUAGAUUUAAACAACCAAUUCAAAGAUAAAUCAUCACCAAAAGCUAACAACACAAGGGGAAAGAAGAAAGGUAAUAUCUUGCAAGUACAACUAGCCUCACCUUUACCCACCAAAGGGAAAAAAAAUUAUGAACCAAUUUAGAAACCAAAACUGAUACUACAAUCAAUAAACCAGAUAACCUCAAGAACCACAUAACAUCAUCAGCCCAAGGAAUCUAACAGCAAAUCCCCAAAACCCAAAAAAGAUGUCAAAAGAAUUUAACAACUGUAAUCAGACAAACUUUUAUUGGUAAACAGAAAGGGACAAAAAAAAUUAUUACAUAUGUAGCAUGUAUGUAUGUAUGUGUGCAUGUGUCACAUAGGCAGGCAGAGAGUGAUGUACGUAUAUACAUGUAGGGGGGAAUAUAAAUAUGGAAAGAAAAAGAGACCUGAGCGAGAGAGAUGAAAGAGCGGAAAUGAUUGAAUCAAAAGUUAAAGAGGAGGAAAAAAAAUGGGGGAAGUGGGUUUGGAUCUCAAUUGAUAAUGGAGCAGCAGUUAUCUUUGUUUCCAGUCCAAAAGACAAGCAACGAUAUUUCCCUCUCCUCUAUCUUCUCGCUGUCAGAGAGUAAGAGGGAAAGUGAGUGAGGGAGGACCUCUUUUUCAGUUUUUUGUUUUUCAGUUAUCGGUUUUUUUUUUUUGUUUGUUCAAAAAAUUUUGUUUAAUUUGCACAGUCCCCCUUUGUUCUUCUUCCAUUGGGCUUAAAACGAUGACUUGUCCCUCGUUUUGGUUCCUCAUCCAUAUCUAUCUAUGUGACAUUGUAUGUUGUUUGCCAAGGAGGACAUCUCUAAUCUGGAUAUAUCUUUUGGAGAAAAGGGGAGAAGUUAAAUUCAUCGUAUUGGGUUUUUUUUUUUUUGCUUUAAAUAAGUUUCUAAUGGAAAUUUGUGGGGUCCAAGUGGUAAUUACCAGAGACUAGUAAAAGGAAAGGAAAAACGAUUAGGAUUAGGACUAGGAAGAAGAAGGUAAGCAAUAAUUCAAUGUUUUGAGAACCGAACCGGGUAUCGACUCGGUCAACUUCAGGGUUCAAGGGUUAAUGAAUUCAAUCGAGUUUGAUAGGGAUUGAACCGGAUCACGUCUUAAAUAAAAAUUAUUUAAAAAUUAAAAUAUUAUAUGUAAAAUACCUAAUAACAUGUAAAUAUUAAUAAAUGUAUAUUCAUAUAUAUUUGAUGUUUUAAAUAUAUUUAACAAGAAAAUACAAAAAACUUAGAACAAUAAAGUAACAAUUUAUAUUAUUUAAUGAGUAUUAACAAGUUUAGAAUUAAAAUUAUUGACUUAAUUGAAAAAUAAUAUCAAACUUUAAGAAAAUAUUGAUAAAGUAUGAAAUAUUUGAGGUAUAUUAAUAAUUUUUAACAAUCUAGGGAUCAAAACAUAAUAUUGAAAAAUUUUGAAUUUUUUUUUAAAAUGCUGUUUGAACCGAAAAAACCGGUUUUUUUCGAUCCAACCCAAUUUUUGACCGAAUUUUUACUUAUCCAGUUUUUAAGCAUGACUUGGACUGGAUACUUGACCAGUGCUCGGUUCGACCGGCCGGUCCGGUCCGAAUUUUAAAACACAGGCAAUAUGUGUCCAUCAAUCCAUCCAUCAGUGAAUGCCGCAGCUGUUUGCUUGGGAUGGGGCCUGAUUUUCAAUUUUCAAUCGUGGGCUGAGUCCUCAAUAGUAAUUAAGCGGUCCUUCGCUAGUCGCAUAAUUUCAUACCCUCUCCCUUCCCUUUUCUGAUGCUUUUACUACUAAUUUCUUCUCGGAUCACAACUUUCAACUCCUCAUGCUGCAUUUUCUGAGAAGCAAAAGCAUUUUAAUAUUCCCUUUAUCCUCUGGUUUUAAUCAAUCUGGAUUACACUUAUCUUAUGCGUAAUAACCCCAUAUACAUAUAUCUAUAUAUAUUGCUUGCAUCAAACGCAAACAUACCACCAGUGCAAUGCAAUUGCGUUAAUGAAGAAGCUUACUUUAGCCGUCAAAAGAUGGACUCAGAUAGGAACUAGUAGGAAGUCGAAGUCAACAAUUUUUAUUAAUGAGCCACAAUUGGAUCAAAUCAAAGCUAGAUGCAAAUGUAUAUUUUUGAUCGAUGAGGAGGAGGACGUACACCGUAGGCAUGCACUUUUAAGAAAAUUGAUAAGCAAAAAAAGAGUCCUGUGACAGUGAUUAGUUGCGGGUUGAUGUGAAAAUUAUCGGUUUAUCCGUCUUUGACAUUAUCCGUUUUGGAUGGGAGGUGUCGCUGUCGCUGUCGCUGUCGCUAAUGAGUUUGUUCAAUUUGUCUAAUAUUCUCUGGAGAAUGAUAAAAUUGUCAGAAAAAAAGGUCGGCAAUACCGACCAAAGAAAGGAGAGUGGGUUAAAAGGAUAAGGAAGAGGAUUAGGGAAGAAAACUGGGAGCAGGAGAGAACACUAAACAGUGGGAGCCCAUGGUAAAAAUAGGACCAAAUUGGGAUCGAGCCUCUUAAGUAGUUGAGCUUCUGUCCAGCUCCCUUCAUCGUUUAAACCGGUACAAUUUGAAUGUAAAUUAACAUGUCUUUAAUAUAAUGAAUUUUAUUUAUUUAUUUAUUUUUUGAUCAUCACAGAAAGUAUUCCUUUCGGAUUAAUUUUUUCCGCACUUGUCCACCCGCUUUUCAAGAUACAUAAGACGAUAGAAGAAAUCAAACUACAACCACACGAUACCAGAACCUAACGAGGCAACCCCAACACCAGCCGAGCCGAUCUCAGGGGCUAAUAUAAUGAAUUUUAUACCAAUUCAAUUAUCAAUUAUGUUCGCAUCAAAAUCGUGUCAAAUUAGGUGGGGCGCAUUUCCCACGAAAUUGACGGCUACGUGGAAGAAGGCCGCAACAAUUAAAGCUUCUUCGGCUCUGGACUGCUUUGUACGUGUCACUUCCAAGCUGAACUCAGCUGACAAGAUGACCUCCUUCGCCAAAGUUCGGCACAAUAUAUAAAUAUUGCAGCCACUGGCCAUUUGGUCCAGUGGUCAUCACCAUUAAAGGUGAUGCUGGAGGUCAGGGGUUCAAUCCCUGUCUCCCACAAAUUUGUCACUAUUUAUGCCGGUCUUAAUUGACCUUUAUCGAUGGAGUCUGUACUCACAUCGAACCCCCUUCUCUUCCCCUUAGAUUAGGCUAGAUUAGGUUAUAUGACAUCUAUCGUUGCGAUAAAAAAAAUAUAUAUAUAAAUAUUGCAGAGUAGAACCUUUUUUGGCUGGCUAAUAAAAUGAUACUCCUCCUGAGAGGAAGGUGGACCAUCAUCAGAUGAAAAAAUAUAAAAAUUUGUUGAUGAAAAAUUGCAAUUCAAAUAAGGCCUAAAAGUUCUUUAAUUUUCGGAUUAGACUUUGAGGGACGAGCGUGGAUUUCUUUGACGUGUAGUGUUUGGCCUUUUAUCAAGUUAAUGUGCAUUUUCUCCCACUCGUUUUUCCGCUACUACCCCAAAUCCUGAAUUCUGAAUGACAUACAGACACCUCAUACAUGAUACACUCAGGAUGGAAUACAUCAGCUUACUGUAUUGUGGGUUCUCCGAGCGAACAAAAAUUCUAGCAGUAAAAAAGAAUUGUCAAUUUUAAAUAAAAUAAUAUCAGAUUACAAUUAUAUUUUGACUCAUGUUCUACUUUCCCAUCUGGAGAGUAAGCCCCAGUUGGCCACCACCGCCGUUUCCGGAUUAUGCCAUGCAUUUUGUACUCAACUGUGUGUGCACUAGUAAACAUGACUUUUACCGAAAAAAAAAAAGACCAAUAUAACUACCCCAGAGUCAAAGGUGCCUCAGAAGGUAAAGACACUGCCAACUCCCUCCGGUGCUGUAAUCGCAAGAAAACACCUAAACAAUAUUGAAAGGAAAACCAAGCACUGAGCUUCAACUCAAGUGGCCACCAAAUAUGUACUGAAUCCCUUUAUAAAUUGUAGGUCGAGAGUUCAAACCUUAUCUGAAUUCAAAAGAAGCGUCAGAACACCUCUUUGAUCUAGUUAAAUUUUUAUACCUAUUAACCUCUUAUACAAAAUCUCUUUAAACUCCCCUCCAUAUAAAUUAAAAUAAAUUAGAUUAUAAAAAUCCCCUUAGACACAGUCUCCCCUCCCUAUAGAUUAGGAUAGAUUAGGUUAUUAAAAUCCCCUUCUACACAGUCUCUUUAGACUCCCUCCGUGUAAAUUAGGAUAAAUUAGAUUAUCGAAAUAUUAUCGUUACUAUAAUAUAUACAUAUAUAUAUAUAUAUAUAUAUAUAUAUUGAAAGGGAAACAACGGAAGGAUGACCACAGAGCCCUUGUAUUGCACUCUUUACAGAAUUACAUCAGUCUAGGUUCUAGCCCAUACACAAGUAAUACAUCUACAAAAUUUGAAGCGGUUGCUCAACGUACAGGUAUCUCUGUACAUGCAACUAUACAUUACAUAUCUAACAAGAGGAAAUCACCAUUUAGUACUAUUUAGGCUAUAUACCACAUGAAACAAAAAACGCAUGUACAUGGGCUCAAACCCCAAGGCCAAUUUCAUGGACUGAUGACUUCAACAGAUGAAACUGAUGAAGGGCUACCUGAUACGAAUAUACAUAUCAUUUUUGGAGCAAGAAGGAACUCCACUUCAGAGGUGCCCAACAAGGGUAUUCGUCUUAGUUCUAAAACAGACGUUCAAUACUGCAACAUUUCUUCAACAGCAAAGACUAUCUUGUCAAAACUUUAUUUUACAAUUCCUCCAGGGGAACCAUGUUACCUUUUCAGAAGUGAGAAAAAUCUUUCAGCUUAAUCAACUUUACGGUACCAUCUCCACCACAUGUAAGGAAACCAUGAGAAACAACUUGAAUAUCAGUAACAGCCGCCUGCAAAACAGGAUCAAAUGUCGCUUCACUUUAUGAUCACAACUUGCAAGUCACUAGAUUGACUUCCAGAAGAAAAGCUUAGACCAUGUUAAAGAAUUACCCGAAAAACUCCUCCAAAACCACGAGAGCUUGGUUGCAGAAAAGUGUGCCUUUCAUGCAAUCUUGGCCAAUGAAAUACUAAUCUGGCCCUCUUGGCAUCCCAGAGUUUUACAUCUCCAUCCUUACUUCCCGUCAGGAAAUAACUUGUAUUUGGGAUGGUAGAUAUUUUGGUCACGCUCGCUUUACAAGAGAAUCCAAGUCAGAAGAUGAUAUAACAUUCACUGGGAGAAAUUAUACAAACAUCUACAGUACCUGCAUGUGCCUUUGGUAUAUACCAGAGCAUCCCAUUUCUGUUCUGGUCUCCAGUUUUGUUGUGCAUGUCUUCAGUGGAAGACAGAUUGACAUUUUGCUCAAUGUUGUCUGUAUGCUUGUGCUUCUUUGUCCUUCCAGUAGCUAUGUAGCGGAAGUCAUGCAGUCCAACAUCACCAGCUUUUCCACCCGUGACAAUAAGGGGAGAAACAGAACCACUUCCAAGAUUAUGAUCAAAGACAGAAAGGGAGCGUGCACCACCUAAAAUCGCACAAUUUCCAUCCUUUUUUUAGCAUGCAAGUCAUCAUCAACUUUAAAUAUUAAGCAUAAAUCGCUAUAGGAGAAUGAAAUUAAGUUUUUCUAAUGCAUGUCAAAAUAUGCAAAUUGAGAGUAGAUAUUCGGCAGAAGAAAAAGUCACACAGAGCAGACAGAAAGCUGAGAGAUACUGAUUUCUAUUUUACCAGAAGGUGAGCUCCUUUUGUUAUUGUCUUCCAUUUUAUGGUUUCUUGUUUUAAAAUACAUCGAAUUCCUUUCUACCACUUUGAUUUCCUUAACGAAUGCAUUUAGCUCUCAAGCAUGCAUCUACUGCCCAUAGCAAUGCUUGAUGGAACAACUGUUGAUAGCGAGCAGGAUGCACAAAUUACCAUCAGUAAGAGUAAAAAACUCUGCAGAAGGGCAGGAAGCAUUCAGUACAACUAACAUUCAGAUAGCCUACCAUACAAGCACUAGCAUGCCUUACAAAUCCGCCAGGAUACAGAAUAUGAACUUAGAAAUUAUCAAGGGCUCUCCGAAUUCCCUUUCAAGCUUUCUCGAGUCACCCUAAUGUAAUGGAUAAGUGAACUUCGCUUACUUCUUACUGAAUAUUCACUAAGAGUUAAUUGGAUGUUUUUGCAAUCAACAAGGGUCCUCUUUCACACUAAAGUAUCAACUUAUCCAUGGCAAAUGAAAGAGGAAAGAUGUACAAAGACUUCAUGCACUCCACCAACUGAAUGGCUUUUGGGGUACUGAUAGUCAGUUUUCCCUCUAAUUCAAUCAUGGAAGCAUACUGAACCACAUAUAUCCUCAACUGACCUUCGUCUCAGUUUAAUGAUAGUAAAAGGACCUCUUCUCUUGCUCCUAGAACUACAGCCAACCUCCCCUUAAUUUCUGCAGCAUAUAAUACAAAUCUUCUCCAGAAAGACAUUCUUGUUACGCUCAUAAUCCUUCAAGAGGAGUAUUAUAAUUUGCGCAUGCUUUUAUGAAUGGGGCCAACACAUUAAGAUUUAAAAAUUAAAAAAAAAACACUUCAAAAAUGAUUUUUUCCAACUAAAUUAAAAAUUCAAUAGGUAAAAAACCUUCAUGACACAUUAUAGAAGCCCGUGAAGUAGCUGUCGGAGCAAGUGUAUCCCAAAUAACCACAUUGAUGCCAGUAGAGCUAUACCCAGCUGCCGCAAUGAUUGACCCACUAGGAGUAACAUAAGUGACAUCCCUGCAAAGAUAGAUGGUAAGUGUUUACCAAAUGUCUACAUGAAAAGAAUCACAGAUAUGAAUUGCAUUUCCAGGGUAGAUCUCAAAUCUAAAACUACCUGGCAUGAGGCAAAGGAAGUGCACACAACUUGUUGACACUAUGCUUUGAAACAAAUGAAAAGAAAAGAAAAAGAAGAAGAAUAGAGAGAUUCAGUCCUCCAUGUUUUUCAUUGAUGGUGGAAAAACAAUAGAUAGAUUAUAUUAUCCAAAGUUGAGCUUCUUUUGCACAUACUUGGGAAGAAAUGAAAGAAAAGGGAAGGCCAUCUUAUAAACCUACUAGAAAUACUUCGAAAUCAACUUCACUUUUUACUUUCUUUCCUUCUGCAUUCAGCUUCCAGAUGCUAUAUUAACAUUUUAAUUUUUUAAUUUCCAUUAUCAAGGAAACAUCAUGACAAGAUAGAUUUUCUUUUCUUUCUCUUCCCUUCAGUUUCCUACAGGCAGUGUCCCAUACUUUUCUUUUCCAAAUAUCGACAUAUUUAUGUUUUUUAUUCAUUUGGUUUUGAAAACUUAAUCUUCAUACUUUUCAAAGUUAUUGCAUGAACCAGGCAUUAUUUUCAGGAAGCAAGACCAACCUUUGAUAUCAUCAACGAUCUGCAACUCAUCAUGAUAAACUAUGACAAUCUCAUGUUCCUAUGAGAGGUAACUACUGCCUAAAAAGAUUCUGACUCAAGGAAGGAUAUAGAACUCUGCUACUUACAUAGAAUAAAUGAAAAAAAAAAACAACUGAUUUUUCUUAACAAACAUCCACUUAGCGUGCUUACGAUGUAUGAUUGUCAAAGCAGAUAGAGGAUUCUGUUGGACCAACAUUGCUCCUUCCUCCAACUUCUAGCUGCCAUGUGCAAACAGUUCCAUCUUGUGCAGCAGUCACAAAUCUGUGUCCACAGUGGUCAAACCUUACAGCAGAGAUGGAUGCAAGGGCAUACGGCGGAGGAACAUUUGCAGCAGGAAGCACCCCAUAUGUAGCAGUUGCUCUGUCCUUACCAAACUGAUCAUCACAAUUUAUACAACCUUUUACAAAUUAUGCAGAAGGGGAAAAGAAAAACAAAUUUCCAAAAGAUGAAUAAAAAAUGAAAACUUCUAAUAUCUAGGACGUUAAGCACAUAUAAGAAAAAUGUGCUAUUUCCAAAUCUCUAAUCCUUGGAUAUGAAGCAAUAGAGUAUUAACUAGUGCAAAUUAGUUCAAUAAGGGCCUAUUCUCGACUAAUGCAGGAAUUGGUCACCUGAAAGUCCACUGACAAACCUUUAACAGAUCCUGAUGAUCAUGGGCUUUUUAAUUGUGUAAUUCUCUGAAGAUCCUGAGCAAAAUUUUGAUAGGAUAGAUACAAAAAGGCUCAACAUAAUGAAGGUAUAUAAAAGAUCUGUUGUAUGAAUAAAGGAGCUUGGACAAGUAUCACUCAUUGACAAGUCCAGACAUGGAAGAUGAAGGAAUCAUAUAAGCCAAUUCUUGCUUACUUUCUAAGUCAGGUAGAGGACAGGAUUGUACACCCUACACUCAGCACUGCAACAACUAUCCUCCUAGACCAAAAAUAUACUUAAAACAUUUUACAGGAACUGGAGGCCAUUUAACAUUAGAGCAAUAUAUGGCUUGUGGUGCCUACUCUUCACCAAUUGAUAUGAUGGUAACGCAAACCUAAAAGUAAGAUAAAGCAAGCCAGAUUAUUCAUAGACACCAACUCUUGGUAGAAGACAUUUACCUCCCAUAAAUAUACAUGUGUGUUGCUGGAACCAACCAGGAAGAGUGGCCUUGAAGGAUGAGUUGAGAAUGAACUGGCAUUCACACUUCCAACAGUAGGAAUUGGAUCAACGAAUUGUUCAAAAUCUGCCUGAACCCCCCAUCCAAGGCUGGAUCCAACCAUGCCAGAAUAACCCGGAAGUCCAAAUGCUCCACCAUCCUUUAGCUCUUUACCUGACUCUGCAAAAAGGCCAGCACCAACAGUUGCGCCGCCUAACCCAAGGCGAGCUCCCUUUCUGCUUCCAAGACCAACUCCAGGAUAAACACAUGUUGGGACAGGAGUAGACUCAGAUCCGGCCCACCCAUUGUGGGGCCAGUCAGCAUCUGCCCAGACAUAUUUAGAUUCAUCUCCACAAGGUAGCCCAUCUUCCAAGUUGAAGCAUAUUAUCCCCUAAAUUUAAAGAUAGGCAUUUCUUAUACCACAAAAGAAUAAAGUAAAUGAAGAUUUGGACAGAUUAAACACUCAGAUUAAGAAAUAACAGUUCAGAAUUGCAAGUAAAAGCAAAUCUACUUACUAAAAAGCAGCAGCACUGAAAAACUUAAUUACCAGCUAUUAUCUCAUGGCAGAUUAUGUUCUAAAUUCUGAGGACAUUCCCCUCUCACUUGUAUUUAUGUCUAAACGAAAUAAAAAACAGCCAAUUCAUUCAAUUACAACACUGGGAGACACUUCUUUACGGAGUAACAAACCUGUGCAUCUGUACAAGCAGAGGUUCAAAGUACUAACUUUUCCCGGAGUCACUAUGUGGCUUCAUUGACGGUCAAUUAUCUUAUCAGUUUUUGACCAAACCUUAGAUACUAACGCACUACUUCCGUAAAAUCCCCAAAAAAACCCUUGAGCUUUCUCAUGAAGAAAACUCAUAUUCAAAUUAAAGAAAGAAGACUAGUAGAUAUAGAUCAAGAAAGGGCCAACAACCCCCUAGUCCAUGUUCAAACAAAAGGGCCUACCUGAAUAACAUAGUUGAGAAAACUUCAAGAAUUAUCCAGAAAGCAUUUAAAAUCGUCUAAAAGCAUUUAACGCAUUCUUAAAAUCAGUAACAUUUGGGAGUGUAAUAUAGGCUGAACAUAAUACGAAUUAGACGGUAUAACACAACAGAAAACAAGUAACCCGCUGCUGUAUUCCAGCAUAUCACAUGAUCAAGAUCUGAAAUUCAAUCCAUCAUUUUAGACUACUCAUGAAACAUUUCGCAUAGUUACAUGAAUCGUUAAUGUUGGAGCUUAGGCACUAUAAUAAUUCCAACCGUCAUCAAGAUGUUCAUGAAGAUUUUGUGCUUUUUAGCUUCCAAGCCAAGUGUGGCAAGUCCAAAAUGAACUAUUGAAAUAGCAAGAUAGAACAAGCUUUUCUACGAAGUGAGCCUGCCCAAAGGCUUGGUUCACUUGUAUAUACUAGGCACCACAAAAAGAUUCUGAAUAUCUCAAUAAUGCAACUCUGGUGAGUAUUGAUGCCAAACAAUCUCUUCUUCAAGCUAUAAAUGGUCUCUUUGCACAGAUGGUCCACGACCCCAGAAAUCAAGGAUACUUCAGACAGCUUAUUUACCAGCCCCCCCCUACAACACAGUUUUUCCUUGCAUGAUGUCUUCUGAUUAAUUAGCAGCUGCCACGUUAAAGGGCAUGAUAUUUUUCCCAAAGAUAGGUCUUUCUGUCUGUUGUAUUUCACAGAUUGGAAAUGUUUAUUUUGUUAAAAAUUAGAAAAGCUCUCUUUGAGGAGUUCAAAUUAUAAUCAUUUUGAAAGCUGCAUCUCUAAUUAAAUACAAUAUAGCUCACACUUUUGCAAGUGCAAACCAAAACUUGGGCAAAACAUCUGGGGAGGUAAUAAAAGAAAUAACAAAUUAUAAUAAGAUUCUCAGAAUAUGUCAGCAUAAAAAAAGGUAAAGCAGCUUGUAGAGGGUCUGUGGUACCUUCCUAUUGGUGGCAAGAGCAGCUUGACGCUGAUCAAUGGAGUUGAUGCACAAAGCCUGCCCAACAUAGGAGAUUAGACAUCAUUCAGUUCAGUAACAGUCUUUCAGGGAUGGUCAACAAAAUUUCUGGUUAUGAAUCAUAUACUUUGUGACGUAAAAGACAAAGGGCGAGGGAAAAAAAGGCACAAACCUCCAAAAGUUCUCCACUUCUCUUAUAUAUUUCUGCAGGAGUAUUAAAAGGAACAACUUUCUCUGUGUCUUUUCCCCCAGAAGCAAUGAAGGGAUGCUCAUUUGGGGUCAGACAUGCAACAGGUGAUCCAGCAGCUUUACAAGGACUUCCAAGUCUAUCAUCUUCUCGAUCAAUUUCCCCACCCUCGUAUUCCCUCAGAAUACUUACAUACACAUCAACCCAGCCUCUGGAAGACUUCUUUUUAAUGCACUCAAACCACUUCAAAUUUUCUCUCACAAAACCAGGAAAUAUUUUCGGAUCAGCACAGAUAUGCCAGAAAAUCUCAUGUGGUGAUAAAUCAGCUUCAUUCUCCCACAUAUCUACAGUGUCAACUCUUUGACUAAAGUACUUGGAUUGGGAAAAAGAUUCAGAAUAAUCUUUUUCUGUGCUUAAAAGUAUGGUUGUAAUUCUUGUAUCUCCUUUCAGCAGCAAGUAUGAAGCUAAUUGUUUUGCACAAUAAAAAGAAAUAUGUGAACAUGUUACAUCCAAUAGCUUGGAAAAUGGUAAAACAGCAGUUGGUAAUUGUACAUCUUUCCCAUCAGCUCCAACUACAGAUAAAGUUGGCACUGUCGGGAGGGGGAACCCCCUUGGAGAUUGAACAGAAGAGCUUUCUUCAAGUACUUCGAUGAGCAAAUCAAGCAGAUGCUUAAGAAAACUAGAAAUUUGGCCCCAAAAAGACACGACAAUAACUAGCCAUCUAUCAUCUUCAGGUAUCUUUACUAAGAUAUCUCCAGCUUGUUCAUGUUGCAUCUCUUCGUUGAUUUCAAAAGCUCCGAUAUCAUUCAAUGGUAACUCAUCAGCCAAAAUCUUUCUAAUCUCAGAAAGAAUUUUGUUUACGUCCUUUAAGAUCUCCUGAGGAGUAUCUUCUUGACUAAAUCUCUUUAAAAUAGGCUUCGAGAUCAGAGCAAGAUGACUCAAGUUCAUUUGGCUCCAGGAAGAUGCAAAAUAGACAUAGUAUUCAGCUAAGUCAAUAACUGUCAAAGGCAUAUGCAGGAUAUCUUCAGUUGAUGAGCCAAAAAACAACUUCAGUGUGGCUCUAAUGCACUGUAAUGACCGUAUGAGAUUCCAUUGAUAAAACUCCAAAGCUACCAACAAGUGAGAACAAGUUUCAGUAGCAAUUCCACUCUUGGUGGAAGACACUUUCAAAUGAGAGCAACUUAAGCUACUGGAAACAAUAAAUCUUGAUACUGUCAAGACUUCUUCAGUCAUCCUAAAAAGUAGCUUGUGCGGGUGAGAAAGGAAAGCAUCAAAUCUACAUGAUUGUUCUGGUGAUAGGAAUCUGGAGCCACACACACGAAAUAUGUGGUAUCCAAUAUAUUGAAGGCCAUUGUUAUGCAAGAAUAAUACGAUCUGUAAAAGAAGAUCAGAAGAAAAACAUAAUUAGUAAGCUCAUACAGAACAAGUGAAGAAGUCAGCAGAGAAUAUGAUUUUAUCAUCGGCAACUAGAUACCUUGUCAAUGAGAUGGAAAGGAUUCAAGGAGAACUUCUGCUGGAAAUAUUCCAAUGUCACCGUUAAUUUUCCAUAAAAAUUUUCAACAGAUCUCUUGUAUUCUUCAUAAGCAGACUCCAUAUAAUUACAUCCACCAAACGGUACCAUAAUAUCCCCCCAGCUUGGAUGUUCCUUUAACAAUUGUGACAGGUACUGCAUAGCCAAAUCUGAUUUAGCAAGUAAUUCUUUCUGCUUAGCCAGAUCAAAAAAUGUCCAGUUUGAGGAAUCUCCAACUGGGGAUAGCUCCAGAACUUGAUUCAGAAGCUCAACAUCACCGUUCUCUAACACAGUUCCUUGAUUUUGCGCACCUAAAGCAUUGCGACAUGAUGAAAGGCACUCCAACGCUUCAAGCUUCAAAUGAUAACAAAAUUGGUCACCAGAAUUAAACAUAUGGAAACCCAUAUUGUACAUAAACAAAAAUACACAUACAACAACAACACUGUUGCAGUUCUUCAUUCAUCUAACCUCCACGAUACAAUAAAUUAGCUAAAGAACAACUAUUCCCAGCAGCUUUCUAGCACCCACAAACAAUAAUAUCAGGUAGAAGAGGUGGCUUGCUCUUUUAUUUUACCCCAUUUUUGUGUUGUGAUUCGGGGGGUGUAUUCUUAGUAUUUUAUGAGUGCACAACUUAAAUCAGGGGUAUGGUCUCAACAAUAUGGUGCACUAGAACUAUGAACCUGAGUCAUUACAGUCAGGUCAUACUAACAGAGUAGGUGAUAGAGGUAGUACCAACAAAAUGCUUGUGAUAGUUAGAUGCUCACCAGUAUGAACUAUUUCUGAUUGGAAGGGACAGGAAGCUUGUAACAACAACAGUGAUCCAGAUUAGAUAUUAAAGGGCCAUUUGAUUAGUAAACAAUGAAUAGUGAAUAAUCACACCAAGAGGUUUAAACAUCUUGCUCUCAGGAUUCAGAAGCAUCAAGUUACUCAACUAGCAUCCACUCCAGGCACUAUAAGUUGAAACUGAAUGUGGAAACAAGGAACAUAGAUACUCAGCUUCAAAAUGGUCAGCGAAAGCACUGGGAAAUGAUGAGACUUGUUCUAAAGGGGACAAAAUUUUCCUAAGCUAUACAGUUAUUGCAGUAACAUUCCCACGCAAAAAAGUUUCCAGGUGACACCAGCAGGUCUAAAUGUGAAAGCAUAAUUUAACACACAAGGAUUACUUACAGGCAACCCGCAUCUGCUUAAUGCAAUAGCACUUAUCAAUACUGCCCACCGACUGAGAACUGCCGCUUUUUGCUCCCCAAUGGCGUUCUUCAUGUUUGUCUUGUUUGCCAACAUCAGGCAGUACUGACCAAUACUUGGGUCCAGAAGAGACUUCUUACUAGUUGAGACAGCUGACUCCUUGUUUAUUAAACUUGUCUGGUCACCAAACAUUGAAAGAUAUGCUUUUGUAUAAUUUCCUAAUAUCCACUGCCAACAAUAGAGAAAAUGGAAAUGAGGCUCCAGUAAUAAUAACACCAUUAGAACCCAUCAAUAUGGAUGAACUAGUACCUCAAAAAGACUUGCGAGCCAGUAAUCACCUCUUGAAACUGCAGAUGGGAGGAUGAUUUUUGAAAUAAGUUGAUGCUCUAAUGGUCCACCAUACCCCUCAACAAGACGACAAAUUACCAAAGCAAGUUGUUCAUCCCCAAGGUUUUUUGCACAGACAUUCACUGCUGAAUAUGUAUCCCCUCCAAGCAAAAAAAAAGCAAUAGCAAGCUCCAGCUGAUGUUUUCCCAUUAAAACAUAAGCAUUUUUCAAAGCAGCUGCCCUAUUCUUUUCAUCCUAUAACAGUGAGUUGGUGCAGAUAAGAGUUUAAAAAUAGUAAAAGAAGAAAAAGUAACUAACUAGCAGGGUUUAAGUAACUUAACAAAACGCGACAAAGUUUACUUCAUAAGUGGCUAUUUAGGUGGAAUAUAAGAAUUUCAAGUUCUGCAAAGACAAUGAAAACCCCUAGUGUUAUCGACAGCCCGUGAGAUACUCCACAAAGUUUGAAGUAUUCUAACUUCCAUGGUUAAAAUGUAUCACUUUUUCCAUGAUUGCCUAAGUAGGUUGAGGAGAGAAAAAACUGAGUCAAGAUAAUUUAGUAAUGAUCCAAACAGAAUGGUGGAGAAAAGCCACUCAUCACAAUGGAAGUUGCAAAAGCAAGAGGUGUGCAUGAACUAGUCCAUUUGCAAAUGGCUGACCCCCUGGCUGGUUGAACCAGCUCAACAAAAUAGCUAAGUUUACUAAUUCUCUUGCACUACUUACAGUUGAGGAGGAUAAGGUAUAAAGGGUAACCAAACCCCAUAACUAUGAUCAACCUUCGCCCAAAAACACAAACAACAAGAAAUGUUAUUGUAUAUUGAAAAAAUAUUCACAAAUCGAAUAUUCCAACAGGCAUUUCCAAAAUAAGGAAAAAUAGUUUUUUUUUGGUAAGUAAGAAUAUAUUAAGGAGAAAACAGUAUUUACUACUGAUGAAACAGAUCUCGUUUUACCAUCAAUUCUACUUGCAUAUAAUAAAAUUUGAAAAAUAACUUCAUCCCCAACUACAUCGCAGAUAAUGGAAAUUUAAUAUGACAAAAGCAUUUUCUUGUUUCCACCUUUUCUAGUUCUUAAAAACCAUCAACAAUUAAUCUCCAAUAUAGAUGAUACAGGCCAAUCAGUAAUACAUUAAGGCUCUAGGAUUUUUUUUUUUUUUGUGGGGGUUGGGUGGAAGGGGAACACAUAUCAUAGGGACAACCAAAAAAUUCAACAUCAAGUAAGGAAGAGACAAAGUAGUAAAACUAUUUACAUAUUCUGAUUUUUUAAAAUCUUAUAGUCUUUCCUCAAAAUAGAGACACGUCUUUUAAUAUCCAAUCAUGAAAAGAAACUAGAGCCUCCACCAACAUUGGACAUAUAUGCUUCAGUUUUGGCAACUGCAGUACUGAAAAUAAAGUAACUGUACCCUACCCUUAAUUUCUUGGUUAGGUUUGGAUCCAGUCCAUAGAAAGCUAGCAUUAAAACCCAUCAAAAGGAAAGGAUCACGUACUUCACUAAAUACAAACCCAAGACUUGAAUGCUUAAACUUUUAGUUUUGACUUUUUCCCUUGUUCAGAAUCAUUUUAUUGAAAAGUGCUUCGAAGUUGAGCAAAAAAAUUACAACAUAAGUAUUACCUGGAAAUUGCGUGAAAGAAACCCCACCAGAGGCUUGUCCUUUUCGUCCUUGCUCAUUUUAAAAAGGCCAGCCAGAACUUGAAUCCUAUUCAAUGCUAUGUAAAGAAGUAUACAAGCCUUGGGAUCUUUAGCUUUCAAAUACUGUUGUCUGGCCAGCUUUUCCAUCUAUAACAAUAGAACAGAUUGCUGAAGAAAGAAAAGCAAUACAUUCUACUACUACUUUGCGUCAUUGAACUGAACAUAACGUACUACUGUAUUUUGCAAAAAUAGCAUCAAUCAUGAAAACCUAAUAAUAAAGCAAUCAAUCAAGAUAUUAAACCUCCUAAACAAAGAGAUUGUACAUGCAUAACGUACACUAGUGGGAAAGGCACACUGUAUGUGUGAGCAAAUUAAAAGAAAAAAUUAUAAGAAAAAAAUAAUUAGCAAUUAUGUAUUCUACUGGGAAAAUGAUACAAGUUUUUUCUUUUGCGGAAGAGAAAGGGGGGGGGGAGUUAUUGGCGGUUAUUGGAGGUUUCUUUGACCAUUAAUUUUGAGUAUUUUUUCCCCCAAGGAAGAUGGUGGUACUAGUUAGCUUGUCAAUGGGAGGAUACAAGAGGAAAUACAAGAAGUGACAAAAAACAAUUUACACCAAGCCCCCUCCUCUUCCUUUAUAUAUGGUAGAGAUAUAUAUAUAUCUCCCAUGACAAGACACUAAGCAUCAUCAGUUAAUGAAUCGACCAAAGAUUGACAAUAGCAAAUAUCACAAAUCUUCAUUCAACAAAAACUACUUUCUGUAAGGAUGCCAAAGGAUACAUUUACCAUUUCCAACAUUCCCGGUAGCUCACAACCACCCCAAUAAGAGUGGGUAGUGUCAACAAAUACACAAAUAAACAACAGAAAUUAAAACAAACCUCCAUCACCUUAGUCCAACAUGACACUUUAUUUUCCUUGUCAAGAGUGCUUCUUUUUGUUUUUUUGCACAUCAGUUCUCUUAGAAUUCUCUUUUUACAUUUUGUAAUUGAAAAUCUUCAAUUAACGUGUCUGCAUUUUUAUAUUUAAAUUGCUUCGCAAAUCCUUUGAAGGGUAGAGGAUCCCAAGAUGAAUGCAGUGAGUUUUUCACAAAUCACCACUAGAACUAGUUUAACACAAAAAAGCUUACAUCUGGAACACAAUGUCCAUACCAACCUCAUGCAGCACCAAAUAAAUCUUGUACUACAACUUUCUCUUCAUAGCAAAUAACGACUGCAAAAGCUAAUCUUUGACUCUUACUCUCAACAAAGCUACACAGCAAUAAAGUAUAUAACUUUCUAAAGAAAAGGCAACUCACAGCUAAAUAUACUUAUUUCACCUGGAAAGUUUUACAAAACUAAAUAACUUUGUGUGUUUAUUGGAAUCAGUUCAUGCCGAUGUACAUGCAUCCAGAGCAAAAAGAAACAUGUCAUUAAACAGAGAUAGUAGGAUUAGCUACAGAUGGUACCUUCAAUCUCAAUUGUGAUGUGUUUGUAUACCAAUAUCCAACACCAACAUCACGCAUUUCUUGCCAAGAUGGCUCGUUAGAUAAAAGAGAAUCAAACAAGUUUUCUUCACAAUCUGAGUGAAAGGCCCAUCCAAUCUGCUCUGAUGAAACAACUAACUCUCCUGCCAAAGGUAACCUACCAUAUAUCUUUGCAAAAUAUUGCAGUUGAAACCUCACUGCAACCCAAAACCUUGCAAAGAGGGAGAAACAGCGUCAACAAAAACAUAACAAUGCUAUUGAAUAUAACAGAAAUGGAAUUAUAGGUCAAAGAGUUAAGUCAUACCAAGCAAAUGACGCAGAAAAGAAAUCAUUGAGCAACAAGAACUAUAUUAGCUUAACUAAAUAUAUUGCAGUUAUUUCCAUCUUUAAGAACCUAGGAGGAUGCAACAGCACCAGGAAAGCACAAUUUGGCAAUUUUUUGAGAUUACCUAAACACCCAGGCAGAACAUCCAACCACCCAAACCAGCCCUGAAGAGAGAGAGAGACAGAGAGAGAGGGAAAGGGAGAGAGAGACAGAGAGACAGAGACAGAGACAGAGGGGCAGAGCAGAACAAUGGUGAUUCACCUCAACUUUUAUUUGAAAGAAAUGUUACAUAAUUUCUACUUUCAAGAGUCUCCAAGUAAUCGGCAAAUGGUAACUGACAGUGAUUUGACAGCAAUCCAUUUACCACAUUACAAUGUAAUAGCGGAAUUUGCCCAAAAAAGAACAUAUAAUUCAGUAGCAGACAAACAAACAGUUCAUUAUACAACCUCUAGUAACACAAGCCUCUCUUGGAAUUAAAGUCAAGUUCCUGUAACUCCAAGAUAUUAAUUUUUUUCAAAAAAAAAAAAUACCUUCGACCAGGUUCAUCGAGGCUUCCAUAAACAGAAACAGUGUGGUGAUUAAUAACUUCUUGCAGGAUAUCAAUGAUAGCAUGCAUCUGCAUCUUUUCAGUAUUGGUUAUGCCAGCAGACUCAUACAGCUUUCCCAGAACAUCAACGAAGUCUGUAGGUUCAGAUCUCACUGAAAAUGAGGGGAGUGCAUUAGCACUCUGGGCCCAACUGGAGCCAAAUGCAAAGGCUCCUUUCUGAAACUGGGAAGAUGAUGCAAUGCUAUCUGCUGCUCCAUUCUGCUGAAAUGAUUUAUCACCUGAGCUUGAAAAAAGCAGCCCUUCAAGAUAAUUUGACAAAGGAACCUGAGAAACAACAUGGCCACCUUUCCCAAAGCAAUACAUUUUCCCAUGUAUUUUAGCGGAUGCAAUGUUCUCAAGAACAUACUGCAAAGUCACAUAUGCCCGUUUCCAGUUACCUGGAGGAAUUUAUGAAGUCAUGGUUAUUUAUGACACAAAGUGAACCAACAAAUAAGAAUGGAAGUGAGGAUUAACAAAUGACAGUACAAUAUAUUAGGUACGUAGCAGGCCAUGUUAAGCAAAGAAGUAAAAGCCAGCGGGUAACAAAAGGAAGUAAGCUGUAUGGGAAAUAAAAUUUUGCAAGAAUAGGAAAAAGAGGUAAAACAUAACCACAGCAGUCCAACAUUCAGAUAUUGCAUGAGCAGGAAUAAAGAAUAUAGCACUGACAAAAUCCAACCCUCCACCCCAACCCAUUCCGAAAAAGAUAAGAAGGCUCUAAAAACUAUAACAGUCAGGAAAACAGAGCAUGUUAAACAAUCUUUGAAGUCAGCUUAUGAAUGUUUCUACCAAAUCAAGUUCAGAAAUUGAACCAUGGAUCAAAUUUUCAACUUAUUUGCUGUUGCUGAAGUAAACCUGUUGAAACAAGAUAUCCAUCAAACUCUUUAUGCACAUCAAUGAUCUGCAUUCUGUAAGAUAUGAUUUUCACAUUUCAGAUGGAGAAAAUAAGCAUGAAACAGACAAGGACAUGCAAGUUAUCAACUUCAACUACUUGUUAAGCAGCCAUCAAAUUACAACAUCUAAAAUUAAUGCACAGAACAUAUAAUAAUCAGAAAAAGUUUGCAUACGAAAACUCAGUCAUGGGAACAGAAAAGCUGAACCAAUAGAGAUACACAACUAAAACUUGUCACUAUUAACUCAACUUCAGGUCCAACUAUUAUGGAACAGUGCAAGGAAUUCUAUCUGUGAAUUUGUCACUAAAAUAGCAGAUUUGCCAGUAGCCCAUUCUUUGUGAUCAUCAAGCCUAUAAUCAUUUUCUAGAUCUUCAAUGGUAUAAUCAUUGGACAAAUGAGAUCAACAGAGACACAGAAUAUGUCCAACUAUGAUAAACUCGUUAAUACCUUUACUUAUGUUCAGAAGAAGUGCCUCAGGAUGAAAAGCAGAUAGAGAUCCUCCCAGCUUCUGUGAUACUUCUGAUAAGCUCCAAAAAUUAAUGAGAGAAUCAAAUUUCAAGUUCUGUUUACUCCUCUCCACAUCUAAGAAUGGGAGGAGAUUAUCUUCUGCAAUCAUAUUCACAGAAGGCCGGGGUUUGAGUUGUUGACCACAGUCCUCAACUGAUGAUCCUUCAGUACCACAAAUGUCAGAAUCAAUGAAAACAGCAGGGAGCAAAUACUCAUUGCAACCAUCAUUCAAAAUGGAAGGAUGAGUACUUUUUGGGCAAAAAAACAGCAGAUUCUUUUUAUCCAAGAGUGAGAAAGGACUGAAGAGAGAAAAAUAGUCAUGGUGUAAAACCCCGACAGUAGCUUUGGGUCCCCAAAAGAAGUCCUGAAUAACAGGAUAUUUAGAAGUUACCGCAAUACAAACCCAAAUAUUUCCUUCAACAUGUUCUUCUGACUUCAAACUAUCCUGUCCUCCACAGCGUCUUUGAGCAUAGAUCUUCAGUUCAUUUUGUGAGCAGACACCCAAUAAUAAAUGGCCAUCGCCCAGCAUCAACCAAUUCAAAGCAACAACUUCUCCCUCAAAACAUAUUGUAUCCUCUAGUAUAAACUUGCCACCAGUCCCAAAGUGCACACAUUCCCAUACAUGUACAGUACUUGCACUACUUAAGCAUCCCGCAUGGGAGACAGUUGCAAUCUUUCGUCCACAAACACUAGGCGAUAUAGCCAAAACUGGGCCUUGAUGUGCAGCAAUCACACCAACAAGAUCCCAGAGUGAUUUUGGACUGGAUAAAUUUGCAGGCAAACUUCUCCAUAGUUUUACAGUACCAUCACUACAACCUGUGACCAUGUGAUAUGUGGAGUAGCUGGGGCUAAAUUCAUCAGCAGAACUCCAUCCUUGUUCUUCAAAUGAGAAAAAGUUACUAGGAUGGACCACCGCAAAACUUGAAAUCAUAUCCUCGUCAUAUGGAGAAGGAAGUAUGGAUGAGUAAGGAUGAAUAGAAAUGAAGUAUCUCGUUUCAGAAAAAUCACUCUCAAAUGUCCACAAAUUGUUCUCAGUAGUAUCACCAAUGUUGCAACCGCACUCGAAACAGUUUCUCAACAAAUCACAAUGAUGGAUUGUUAUGUUCCAUGACAAAGCCUGAAAACUGUUCUUCCAUACAGCUAUUACCAUAAAACUACCAGAAACAGAUGUUCUAUUACAGGCUGAAAGCACAGGAAUUGAACUAAGAGUAGUUGGCCCUCUAUCAAAGUCUUGACUGCCAUAUUGGAUUGUACAUAAACGGUGGACAGCAAUUUUGUCUUCUUCAUUGUCCAUAACCUUUACUAUAAAGCAAUCAAUACCUCCAGCAUGCCCCAUGACAAGAACCCGAACCUCAUUGAAGAUAGCAGGUGCCCAUGCCAAACUAGUGCACUUUGCAUGAGUUUCAGAAAAAACACUUCUCCUAUAAAGUUUGCAUGAGGGAUUCAAUGUCCGCAAGCCAGCAACACCAUUAGAAGCAGUGGAAAGUGACCAAAAGAGAAGCAGUCCAUUUGUAUCCAAAGAAGCAGCAAGUCCAGCUUCGAAUAGAUAAGGAUGAACUACAACCUUUAAUAUAGUCCCAGUGUGACUAUCAAUAUCCAGAAUUCCGGAGGCACAGGAUGAUAAUAAGUCUUUAUCGUAACAAUUAUUUGUAGAUCUAUCUUGUGCAUCAGGUGAUGCUUGUGAAUGUGAGUGCAAAAGAGCCAGAGAAUUACAGGGUAAUACUUGAAGCAAAGAACACAUUGUUGGUGGGGUAAACAUUUUAUUUCUCUUGAUGAAUACUUUAUUGAGUAGCAAUCCUCCAGAUCCCACUUGAGGACUGAUUAAUUCUUGUCUUUUCCAUAAUGUGACCCGGGGAAAUCUCAGUGGAGAAAAUUCAUCAAGACAGUGAAUAGCCCAGAGGGUAACUGUUAAUUGAGGACCAAACCCAAUUAACCAUUCACAAUAGCCAGUCUUAUUGUAUUGAUAAUCAGGGGAGAAAAACUGGGGGCGAGCAAUACUGUCGAUUUCAGUAGCCCAAGUGACAAAUACAGUGGAGCCUAAAGUUCCAUUGAGUGCUUGGUUUACCUCAAUUACAGCAACAACUCGAAAGGAUAACUUUGUCAUUGCAUGAUCACAGCUGUCCUUGCCACCUUUUUUGACCUUCCCAUCAUCACUCUGACUCCAUAGUCUCACACUGCCAUCAAAACAGCUUGUUAAUAACAUCAAC
rnacentral:lncRNA from 1 species